UCGUUGGUACGGCUGCUGCUCGAUAACAACUUAUUAGAAGGAAGCAUACCUCAAUCUCUGAAGAACAUAAAAGGUCUUGCAUUACUGAACCUAACAAUGAAUAAGCUAUCUGGUAGUAUUCCUGAUGCCCUUGCUAGCAUUGGCCACCUGCAACAACUGUAUCUUGCACACAACAACUUGUCAGGUUCCAUCCCCAAAGUUCUACAGAAUUUGACAUUGUUGGCAAAACUGGAUUUGUCCUUCAAUGAUCUGCAAGGCGAAGUGCCAAAAGGGGGUCCUUUUGCAAAUGCAACUCACUUGUCAAUUGAUGGAAAUGAUGAGCUUUGUGGCGGAAACCCUCAACUUCAUUUAGCUCCGUGCUCCACAGCAGCUGCGGGGAAGAACAGAAGGCGAAUGUCAAGAUCACUUAUGGUCACCGUAGCGUCAAUCUGCGCACUUCUAUUCUUAGGUUUAGUAGUUUGUCUUAUCCAUUUGAUCCACAAGAGGCUCAGACAAGGAAAGGAAAAUCAACUCAUUCCCACAGCAAUUGAUGAACAGCACGAAAGGGUUUCAUAUCAAGCAUUAGCAAAUGGGACUGACCAUUUUUCGCAGGUUAAUCUGCUCGGACAAGGAAGCUAUGGUGCAGUUUAUAAGUGCACUUUACAAGACAAGGGAAUUACCGCAGCUGUAAAGGUAUUCAACGUGUGGCAAUCUGGGUCUACUAGAAGUUUUGUGGCUGAAUGUGAGGCACUGCGAAGGGUGCGCCACCGAUGUCUCAUAAAGAUCAUCACCUGUUGCUUAAGCAUUGAUCACCAAGGCCAAGAAUUCAAGGCACUGGUUUUUGAGUUCAUGCCCAAUGGUAACCUAAAUGGUUGGCUGCAUCCAGCAUCCAAAAUACAGAGUCUGAGCAAUACGCUCAGCUUAGCUCAGAGACUGGACAUUGCGGUAGAUAUCAUGGAUGCUUUGGAUUAUCUUCACAAUCAGUGUCAACCGCCUAUUAUCCAUUGUGAUCUCAAACCAAGUAACAUCCUCCUUGCCGAAAGUAUGAGUGCUCGGGUUGGAGAUUUCGGCAUAUCAAAAAUCCUUCCUGAUGACACUAGCAAAACUAUGCUGAAUUCGGUUAGCUUCACUGGACUAAGAGGUUCCAUUGGAUACGUCGCUCCAGGUAACAGAAACUAACACUGAUAUUGCUAUGUUCAGUUUUUAACUUCCAUUUUGCCAAGUCCAGUUAUCUCGGCAUGAAUCGUUCGUAAGUAGCUUGCCAUGAAUCCACUGACCAAAUAGUUUCUGAAAUCUGAAUUGACUGCAGAGUACGGCGAGGGUCGCGCCGUCUCAACUCUUGGAGAUGUUUACAGCCUCGGCAUACUGUUGCUUGAGAUGUUCACCGGGAUGAGCCCUACUGACGACAUGUUCAAAGGCUCCUUGGACCUUCAUAAGUUCGCCGAGGCCGCUCUCCCCGACAGAGCCUUGAAGGUAGCCGACCCGGCAAUCUGGCUUCAUGAAGAAGCAAAGGGGGAAGACCCGGCCACGGUGAGAAGCAGAAGCGAGAGGUGCUUGGCUUCAGUGGUCGGGCUUGGCGUGUCCUGCUCAAAGCAGCUGCCAAGGGAGCGGACGGCGAUGCGGGAUGCUGCCGCUGAGAUGCGUGCGAUCAGAGAUGCCUUCCUGGUUCAAUGUGCAACAGAGACUUGGCCUGCAGUCGGCACCAGCGGCCUUGGAAGCACAGACACUUGAAUGGUGGACGGAGCUACGGUCUCUUGACGCACCAAGGAGCCACCGGACUAGCUGCUCUGCAACUAACAGGGUGGAGAAAGCGCCCCUUAAUGAAAAGAAAAACAGCCGGUGCAAGGCUUUAUACAAAGAAUGUGACAGCCACUGCGUGUAUCCGAGAGCCUUAUCUAAUCUACCGAGGAUUGUUAUGUAUGGAUGCGUAUAGAUUAUGCACGGACUCCUCCGUCCCAAAAUAAACGCACAUCUUGCUUCUUGAGGAGUCAAACUUCUAAGUUUGACUAAAAUUUAUAAAAAAAAUGUACUACUAUUUAUAAUGUAUAAUAAAUAUCAUUAGAUUGAGCAUUGGGUAUACUUUCUUAAUACAUUUAUUUGAAGAUGUAAAUGUUGAUACUAUUUUUUAUAUUCUUAGUCAAAUUUAAAAAUAUUUGACUCAUCGAGAAGCGAGAUGUGUGUUUAUUUUGGGACGAAAGGAGUACCCGUCACCGGGAUUAGUCAUGAUAUAAGAUUAGUCACGAUAUAAGUAGGGAUUAGCAAGCACCAAAACCCCAUUCACUGCCCAUCGAUCGCUCAAAUAAAAGAAACCAUUGCAUAUGGUGGCGAUGCGCUCGCGGGCCUUUCUCCAACCUUUCUGCUCUCGCGGGUCUUGAACUUGCAUGGAACAGUUUUAGUAAAGCUGCCUCCAACUUUAGGGAGAUUGCCAAGGUUCAUUUACCUGUCCUUAAGUGGCAAUAAGUUAGGAUCGAAUGAUAAGGACGGAUUGGAAUUCAUCACCAUGCUGGCAAACUUCAGCCAGCUUCAUCAACUGGCUUUUGACAAUAAUUCAUUCAUCGGCGAACUUCCUAGCUCAAUUGCAAAUCUAUCGACAACACACCAAUUACUCUAUAUACGAUACAAUUGGAUUUCGGGAUUUAUUCCAUCCAGCAUAGGUAAUUUGCUUGGUCUAGAACUGCUUACGUUGGCAAAUACUUUCAUAUCCGGAAUGAUUGUAGAUAGCAUUGGUCGCCUAGAAGACAUGUCCGUGUUAGGCAUUUACUACGCUAGCUUGUCAGGUAUCAUACCUUCAUCACAAGGAAAGCUUACACAGUUGAAAACUCUCUAUGCGUACGAUAGCAACUUGGAGGGUUCAUUUCCAGCAAGCUGGGGGAACUUAAAGAAUCUUUUUGUUCUUAAUCUCUCAACGAAAGUGCGUAACCCGCUAAAGUUUCAUGUCAAAGCAGAGCAUAAAUCUCUCUCAAAACUGCAAAACUAUCAUAAAGCAGAUCAGUCUGAGGGCUAGCCUAUGCCCUAUCAACGCCUCCCUUCUUGCCCUUUUGGUAAGAUUACCCCAAACUAGAGUCUAUAAUUAAUUAGCUAAGACUAGAGCCACGUAGUUCUUGUGGUUGUACUGUUUUCCUGAGUGGUCGCUCCAUGUUCCAAUUAAGCAUGAUGAUCUUGUAUUAAUAAAAGGUAUAUCAUAAAUAAAACAAGUUUAAUCAUUGAGUUCAUUAAAACCAUCACAAUCCAAGGUAUUGCAACUAAGCAUAUCUACCUUAAAAAAAGGUAAAACCCAGGUUGACAAGGAAUGAUCAUAAAAACUAGGUAAACCUUAAUAGGACCUAUCAAUAUUAAAUGUAGAGCAAUGCAAAAGUGAUUAAAUAUAGUUUUUGGGAUAAAAGUAUAAGGACACACGUGCCUUUCUCCAAAGAAUAGCUGCUCAGAUUAUCUUCCGCUCUUGUUCCUCAAAGCUCUCGAACAAUGUUCCUUCUACUUGCAUCAAUCAUCGGCACAAGCAUACCAAGCAAACAACAAUCACAACUAAGAACAAUACAUCAAUCAUUGGAAAGCUUUAAAAGAGCGUACUAAAGGAUAAGGCUUGAAUCUAAGGUCACGCGAAUGCAAGAAACGCUGGGAACAAAACUAUGGUUGAAAAGACAAAGUUAUCGAGAGAUUUGAAUUAUAAAAGAAAGAGAAAAGCAUAUGUGCUUCAUAUAUUUUAAUAAAACAAUGUAAAGAUAUUUUAGAGAAACAUCCUUAGCAUGUUAUAGUUAUGUAUGAAAAGACAAUGUAGAACUUAGUCAAAUUUUAUUAUAAACAUUCAAGUACAAUUUAUGCAAAUUAAAAAUUUAAUUUGAAAAUAAAGUAUAUGUAAACAUCUAAGCGCAUAGCUUUAUGAUUUAGGUUGAACUAACCAAAUAUAAUUAAAAACACAUUUAUAUUUAUAUUAAAUCAAAUUAACAUAUAAUUAUGAAAACUCGAGAUAUAAAUUAUGUAGCUUUUAUUUAGAAAACAAAUUGAAUAAACAUUUUAAUUAAAGAAGACAUGUUUAACAUGCAUUAAUUAGAUUAAUAUUAAAUUUAUUUUAAAAACAUGCAUGAUGGAAAGAUCGGCACUAACGUGUAAUUUGUGAUUCAGGUUGAACUAACCAAAUAUAAUUCAAAAACACAUUUAUAUUUAUAUUAGUCAAAUUAACAUAUAAUUAUGAAAACCCAAGAUGUAACUUAUGUAGCUUUUAUUUAGAAAACAAAUUGAAUAAACAUUAAUCAAUUUAAGUUUAAUUAUGAACCACCGUGGUGCAUCUCUAAUUCGCUUUUAAUUGAAAGAGUUAUUUAAAUAAGCAUUAAUAACUAAAUUAACAUUUAUUAUGAAAAGCGGUUAUAACACUAAGUAGCUUUUAAUUAAGGAAGACAUGUUUAACAUGCAUUAAUUAGAUUAAUAUUAAAUUUAUUUUAAAACAUGCAUGAUGGAAAGAUCACUACUAACAUGUCCUAAGAAUGGAUAUAAACGGAGCUGUAAUGAGGAGUCCAUGGGUUAAACAAGGUUGCAGGGCCUAAUCGCGAUUAACGGAAGGUUAUUGGGGCUAGCAAGGAAGAUUUGCAAGACACUGGAAUAGAGCUCACCAUUAGGUCAAAGCAUAGGGUUAGAUAUGUUAAAGUGCUCAGGUUAGACUUGGUUGCACGGAUCCAAUCUAAUCAGGGACAUGGAUGAAAAAAAACAAGACACAAGGAAAAACUAACUAUUUGUAGAGCUUUAUAGGGGCCUAUGCGCAAAAGCACCACAGCUCAGCAUCCAUGGUGGACGGGCUCCUGGAUGGCAAAACCCUCGUGUCAGAUUUAUAAGCCUGGUAGUCCACCAAGGGAUUCCCCAAGUGGUUGAUUUGUAGAUGAGGGUGAUUGUGAAACCAAGAACUCGAAGGUGGUCGCGAGAACACGAAGGGACACUUAGACAAGUUCGGACCUUCGGAGAGUAAUACCCUACGUCCUAUAUGCUGGUUUGUAUUGCUUGAGAUUGAUCUAAUUGUUGCGAUACCCUCGGGGGUGCCCUUGGCCGCCUUAUAUAGGCUGACGAUCAAGAGUUAAAAGUCGGUUUGAAUCUAAUCUACUCGGUAGUUACAUGGAAAGUAAUCUGAGUUGGACUACAAUAUGUGUUCCAUGAUAUCUGGGCAGAUUUGAACUAUCUUAUUGCCUUGACUUGCACUCCAAGUAACUUUAUGUCCUCGGCCCGCACGCUCUGAUCGGGCAGGCCCUACUUGUUAGUCCGACCAGUAUCCUGGCCGGUCAGGGCCCAUGGGGUACCCAUAUCCCUUAAGGCCCCAAGCAUUGUGUAGGCAAACAGGAACUUGAUGUCAUCAAAGUGAAACUUGGAAUGAAAUCGGGUGAAGCUGACGAAGAGCCAACGCGUAGAGCGAGGAUGAGUGCCGAGUUGAUGGAUGCUGGCAUCCAGCAGGUCGAAGCGAAGGUUACGGAGGGCGUCGCAAGACGCACUCUGUAGGAGUAGCCCCGGAGCAUUGAAACAAUUAAGAUAAUCAAUACAAUGGUCAAAGAGGAAAAAAUUGUCCCCUGAAGUAGAUCCUUGUGCCCGAACACAAGGAUGGACGCAGCCACGGAGGCCCGCCAACCAGAAGUAGGCACCUAGACUCAAGGACGAGGACUGGUGGGACUGUGGAGCCAUGCCGACCUGAAAUAGGCAUCUAACCCCUGAGGACGAGGACUAGCAGAGCCGCAGAGGCAUGCUAACCUGAAAUAGGUGCCUAGCCCCCGAGGAUGAGGACUGGCGGAGCCAUGAAGGCACGCCGACUUGAAAUAGGUGCCAAGCCCCCAAGGACGAGGACCAGCAGAGCCACGAAGGCACUCUGACCAGAAUUAGGCGUCCAGCCCCCGGGCAUGAGUGCGAGGAUUGGCGGAAGCACAUCGAGUUGCCUCCCUUCCCGGGCUCAGGCAGAGAGGUUGGUCGGGUGACGAGAGGCACACCAAGUCAUCAAUGGUGCCCAGCCGCCGAGCCUAGGAGCCGGACGAGUUGCAAAAGCAUGGCAAGUCACCUCCCGCCCCGAGCCAGAGAGGUCGGCUGGGCGACGGGAGGCACGCCGAGUCAUCUACGGUGCCCAGCCCCCGAGCCUUGGAGCCGGCUGAGCCACAGAAGCACGCCAAGCCGCCUCCCGCCCUGAGCUAGAGAGGUCGUUUGGGUGACAAGAUGCACGCCGAGUCGUCUGCGGCGCCUAGCCCUCGAGCUUGGGAGCCAGACGAGCCACAGAAGCAUGCCAAGUCGCCUCCUGUCCCGUGCUAGAGAGGUCAGCCGGGUGAUGGGAGGCACGUCGAGUAGUUUUUGAGCUAUAAAAGAACAAUACAAUCAUUAUGUAGCAUAAUGUAGAUCAUUUAAUCAUUGAACAACUCGGAAGUUUAAUUCGCUGUAGAAGUAAACUCUUGCGCAUCCUGCUCUUAUAGGCCAAGUAAUUUCCCUAGGUAGUUAUCUUGUUACGUUUAAGCACCUAGCCCUACUGACCACUGUUCACGGAGAGGAUGGUUUAUCUUAGGCUAUAGUGCUGGGGCUGACCCGAUGCUCGCAUAUAGGAACGCGCAGGAUGAGUCAAGGUUUCACGGAUUAAGGCGUGUGCUACCCGAGUACUUUAGCAACCGUUAACAGGGAUGGACAAGUCGCAAAGCAACCGGAACUGUGCGGAAAAGCACCAGCAUGAGUUGGGCACCCAUGGGGUGUAGCCCCCGGCCGCCCGUGUAGUGGACGGAACAAAAGUCACGACAACAUGGAGGAGCCGAGGCUUAUGUAGGUAUAUGGAAGCUGUAAAAUAUUUUAUUGUAAAUAAUACUUAGCUUGAUUCGUGGUCGAGUCAAAGAACCCGCGUGUCAUCUUCGCGUUUAGUCUUAGAAGCCCCUGAGCGUGGUCGGCGGACAGUUGUUGGUGAAGCAAACUAGUCGGGCUCCAUGCCCAACUAAUUCGUGUCGAGUUCGAGUUGUUGGAGUUGUCAGCGGCAGGUUUGUGGUUGCGAUUGUGGUAUGCUGUUGCCAAGUCGAUGUGGCCAUCGGGUCGUGUCCGGCUGGCCGCUACGCUCACAGUACAGCAUGUCUGGGUUGUGCUGCCAAACCAAGGGUGCAUGUACAUCUUUUCGAACCUUGCAAGGAAGCCCUCACGUAUUAAGGAAAUCUAUACCUAAUAUUAAAGCUCCCGCAGCGUGCGCCUAUGCCACGUGUGGUGUGGACGGGUGUGCCGGCUGCGGCUGCGAGCUCCUCACUGCGGCAGGGACCAGGUCGAGCAGCGACAGUGAUGACGAAGGGGAGUAGUCCGCGUCUGCGUGCCAUGCCACCAUCGCCGGGCAAGGUGUGGCAGCGGCGGAGGGGGAGAGUGAGUACAUCGGCGUGCAGCGGCGGCCGUGGGGUAGGUGGGCGGCGGAGAUCCGCGACCCGCACUACGCCGUGCGCAAGUGGCUCGGCACCUUUGACACAGCUAAGGAUGCCACGCGCACCUACAACAUCACCGAUGUCGAGUUUUGAGGCCACUGCACCAAGAUCAACUUCCCCGACAACACGGCCCCCGCGCCCGCACCUUCCUGGGUGCCAAACUCGACAUACCACCACCACGACCACUUGCCGCUGCCGCUGCCCGAGAGCCUACACGAGACCUGCGGGGCGAACGCAUCCUCGUCGAUGGAUGUGGCUCUUGCGGUAGCGGCGUCGGCCGAGCAGCACGGCACGAGGCCGGUGCCGAAGGAGCAGGACAUCUGGGACAGGCUGAACGAGUUCAUGAUGAUGGAUGACGGUAGCUUUUGGUCACCCAUGCUAUGAUCAUCACAUUCUCCUCCAUUCUCCUCUUGUUUUCACUUUCGUUGCUUAGCGGAUAAUGGUGGUCAGCUGGCCUCUGGUCUGUCGUCAAUCGCCAGCCAUCCAUCGCUUUUAUAUGGUUUUGCACUAGCUUUUGGGCUUUGACCACACCCUCCACACCCAUACGAAAUGACUAGGUAGAGUGAUGUUGAUAUACUGCUUGCCGCGCGCUAGGGCGAGCAGCUACUCACUCGGGCUAGAUGCCCUACCCGCCACCUGGACCUAAGAGGUGAAGGAGAGAGGAGGGAGGGGGAAGGAAACAAGGAGCCGAGUGCCUCUUUGCAGUCAACCAAGUAGAGCCAUAUGCCAGCGAAGGCAUGGCGCCAGCGAGGGGGGGGGGCGCAGCGGCAGUCGGUAGGCAACACAAACAGGGGGCGGAGGUCGGGACCUCACAUCCCCCUCUCAAUGAUGUCCAUCCCCUUCAUAUCCAGAACUAAAGCCUCCACAUCUAGCAAUUGGGGGCUCGAUUUUGCACUUGAUUGGAACGAUUUGGAGUGGAUUAUAGAAGGGAAGUGGAUGGAAACGAGAAGAAGAGGAAAACACACUCCUGCUCAUGGCGGCCAGAGGCGCGGUGGCCUAGGUCUCGAAGCAGGAAUGAGGCUAGGCACGGGAAGGACGAGCGUUUGCCUAGGCGACGGUGAGGAUGGCAAGAUGCGUAGCGCCUGGAUGAUGGCGAAGAUAGGGCAUGAUGCGGGUGGCGCCGACGGACGAAGUGGCAUCGACUAGCUAGAUGACGAUGAGUACGGGGGAAAUCGAAUGAAUGGAUAGAGCGGAGGUUGAGCGGUGAUUUUUUUUUAUUUCCAUGUGUGGGUCCCAUGUAAUAAACAGAUGGCAUCAAACCACCCACAAAUAUCUUCUACUACUGUACUGGGAUAACGCAUCAACAUAUGGUGAAGCGAAAUCAACAUAUUAGGAACAAGCAAAUAAUAAUGUGAGAGUAAGUAAGGACUUGUAGCAACGUACAUGUAUUUCUGCUAGUAAGAAAAAAAAUUGUUAGCUGCCGUAGUAAGCACCAAGCAACGUAGGAGAUCUACUGGAUGGAAUAGAUUAAAUAAUAAAGGGAAGGGAGAAUUGUUCCUUUUUUUUGGCAGAUCCGACGUGUCUGCAUGCAACAAGUUGAGGUCGACGUGUUGUGCUAAAUCAACCGGAUCAGACUGGGGCCGGAUCAGGCGAGCUUGGCUGUGGCCGGGAUGAGGCCAAUAAGGGCGUCGCCCUUGACCUUGGCCUCCUGUGCCUCGCGGAUCUUCUACAUCUGGAGCAUCUGCUCCAUGAUGAGCUCGUAGUGGCACUUCUUGUAGGCGUGGCGCUCGGGCUCGCACUUCCAGCGGAGGUAGAACUCGGAGGUGCACGCACUGGUCGUGGUAGGCGAGCGGCACCAAGGCCUCCGCCAUCUCCACCUGCGUGAUGAUCUGGGGCUUCGUGGAGUCGAACUGAAUGCCGGCCAUUGCCGCCGCCUCCAUCUGUCACUUUCUUGCCCUCUCUCUUGCCGGCGAGGUCGUUCCGUUGAUAGAUGGGUGCUGCGGGUUUGGUGCGGCGUGGGUGGGUGGUGUGCAGCAAGGACGUGAGGAACCCUCUCGGAGAGAGAGAUUGCUUACCUACUAGGUAAACGGUGUGAUGAUCCUUUGAUAUAGACCUUGCUCCGCCGGAGUAAAUUCGACAGAUGCCAAGCUGGCGGCGGGCAUUGAGUCGAAGUCCACCGGCAUGCUCCUGAAGUGGAGCUGGAUCGGAUUGGCGAGGAAGUCCUUCAUGCUCUUGGGGAAAACAAUGUCGGGGCGGGAUGCCAUCGAGCUCGCUAGGGAGGAUCUUACAAUCAUCCCUACCUAGCGCGCCAACUGUUGGAUUUAUAAGCCCGGUAGUCCACCAGGGGGUUACCCAAGUAGUUGAUUUGUAGGUGAGGGCAAUUGCAAAAUCAAGAACUCGAAGGUGAUCGCGAAAACACGAAGGGACACGAAGGUUUUAGAUAGGUUCGGGCCUCCGGAGAGUAAUACCCUAUGUCCUGUAUGCUGAUUUGUAUUGCUUGAGAUUGAUAUGAUUGUUGGGAUACCCUCGGGGGUGCCCUUGGCCGCUUUAUAUAGGCUGACGACCAAGAGUUACAAGUCGGUUUGAAUCUAAUCUACUCGGUAGUUACAUGGAAAGUAAUAUGAGUCAGACUACAAUACGCGUUCCAUGAUAUCCAGGCAGAUUUGAAUUGUCUUGUUGCUUUGACGUGCACUCCAAGUAACUUCAUGUCCUCGACCCGCACGCCUUGGUCGGGUCGGCCCUACUUGUCAGGUCUGACCAGUAUCUUGAGGUACCCAUAUCUCUCACCUUGGUGCUCCGGCGAUUAGGGUCAGUGGCGAGGAUGGGGAUUGGAAGAGGAGAUCGAGGGGACUUUAUGGAGAUGCUCACCGGCGACGAGGCGGACGGAUUCUGGCCAGUAUUUGGCUGGCGGUGGAAGAACACGACAGCUGGCUCAAGUCUUCGUGAGUGAUGGUACUCCGGCGGUGGAGCGACGACGACGACUGGUGGCAGAGCUGCUCCUCGAUGUCACGGAGCUCCCUAAGGCUCUAGCUUGCUCCGAUGGUCGACGAGCACAGCGAAUCGGCCAGAGAAGGACGGCAGUGGCUCCUAGCUCUGGCGGAUGUGGGGGAUGGCAGUGCUCGUGCAAGCUAGGAAGAGUGGCGGUGUGAGGCAGGGCAAUAGCAGGGGCACAAUCUCGACUUUUAUAUGUGCGUGGGUCCGCGCCUGCCUUGGCACGCAUGCCGAGGUUCGGCGGUGGCGAUGCCCAAGUGCAGCUACGCUUGGCCUCGACCCGCUGUUGGUCGAUGGGCCUAGCGGGCCUAGCCGAGCCAUCAACUGGGCCGGGUCAGUGCAGGUUAGUUGGAGAGGGUCGGGCCCCAAAGACUUGGCCCCAUCGAUUAGGAUUUUUCUUUUUUUCAGAAAUGAUUUCUCGUGAAAGAAAAAUCCAGAAAAAUUCUAGAUAAUUAAUUUAAACAAUGAAAAAACUCUAAAAAUCCAAAAAUUUCAGGAAAAAUCAUCUCUAGUUUGGGACAUGAGGAGUCCAAAUAAAAUACUUGGACCUCGUGAAAAGGAUUCUAGAACCUUCCAAAAAUUGGAUUUAGCUUUAGAAAAAAAUGAGAAUAAAUCUUAGAAAAAUCUGAAAAUUCUCAUAAGAACCUAAUCAGCAUCUAAACGCAUUCCAAAACCUUUGCACUUAUGAAAUACCAAGAUGCAUUGGUGUGAAUGCAACCCAUACACAAUCAUUAUAUUUAAUUCAGAAAAACACUCAAUUGUUUUCCUAUACUAAAUUUCCUCUUAAGAAAAUAAAUGUUGGAAAAAUUUUAAAAUUGUGAAAAAAUUAUUGUUUAAUUAUUCUUUUUAAUCAAAUCCUGAAAUUUCAAAAAUUUUAAGGUGAGGCAGAUACCCUCAGGUUUACAGAAUUUGACAUCCAUGUGCAAAUUGGAUCUAUCCUUCCAUGAUCUACAAGGUGAAGUGCCAAAAGUUUUUUUUUGGCAAAUGCAACUUACAUGUCGAUUUAUGGAAAUGAUCAGCUUUGUGGUGGAAAUACCUCAACUUCAUUUAACUCCAUGCUCCAUGUCCAGUGCAAAAAAGAAAAAAAAGGAAAUUUGUCGAAAACCCUUGUGAUCACCCUAACAUCAAUCGGUGCAGUUGUAUUCUCAGUUUCAGUACUUACUGUAAUUGUGUUGAUCUGUAAGAAGCUUAGGAAAAGGCACGAAAGUCAACUCAUAUCCACAACUGAGGAACGGUAUGAAAGAGUUUCUUAUCAUGCUUUGUCAAAUGGGACCAAUGGAUUUUCAGAGGACAAUUUACUUGGACAAGGAAGCUAUGGCAUGGUUUAUAAAUGUACUUUACAUGACCAGGGCACUACAGUAGGCUACUGUAAAGGUGUUUAACACACAACAAUCUGGGACUUCUAGAAGUUUUGUCGCUGAAUGCGAGGCACUCAGAAGGGUGCGUCCUCGUUGUCUCGUAAAGAUCAUCACUUGUUGCUCAAGCAUCAAUCACCAGGGUCAAGAGUUCAAGGCACUAGUUUUUGAGCUCAUGCCAAAUGGUAGCCUAAAUGGUUGGCUUCACCCAGAGUCUGACACACUUACCCAGACAAAUACCCUUAGCCUUGAACAAAGGCUACACAUUGCUGUCGAUAUCCUGGAUGCUUUGGACUAUCUUCAUAAUCACUGUCAGCCAUCAAUCAUUCAUUGCGAUCUCAAGCCAAGCAACAUCUUUCUUGCGGAGGACGUGAGUGAGUGCCCGAGUUGGAGGUUUUGGCAUACGAAGAAUCCUUCCAGAAAGUGCUAGUAAAACCCUGCAAAAUUCGAAUAGCACAACUGGAAUAAGAGGCACCAUUGGUUAUGUUGCACCAGGUAAUGAAAGAGAUAUUUUUGGUAUUUGUAAAAUGUUCUUAGUUCUUACGUAUACAUGACCUGCUGACCUUUGGAUUUUUUCCCCAAUCAGAGUACGGUGAAGGUUCUUCUGUCUCAACUCAAGGUGAUGUUUAUAGCCUCGGCAUAUUGCUGCUUGAGAUGUUUACUGGAAGGAACCCAACAGAUGAGAUAUUCAAUGAUUCUUUGGAUUUGCACAAGUUUUCAGAGAAUGCUCUUCCAGAGAGAAUAUGGGAUAUAGUUGAUCCGACAAUACGGAUGCACACAGAUGCCUAUAACAGCACUAUAAGAAGUGGAAUUAAGAAUUGCUUGGUUUAUGUUGUUUCUCUUGGAAUAUCAUGCUCGGAGAAACAACCUAGGGAGCGGAUCCCGAUUCUGGAUGCAGCCAUUGAGAUGCACGCUAUUAGAGAUUCGUAUCUCAAGUUUGCCAGAUCUCUUUUGGUGGAGCAUGGAGUAGUAGCAACAACUCACAGUGAUUUUCCACAACAGUGAAUACAUAGGACUGAAAAUGCGCAAGAUGUCUGCAGAUGAUCAGUUUACCUGAAAUAACUGAAGAUGUAUGAAGCUUCAGCUUUAUAAUUUGUCCAUGCAUUUGUUUGCAUCAGAUAUAUGGAAGUAUAAAAUAAGUUUAGAAAAUGUUUCAAAAUAGAUUAGAUCCAGAGGUUUUAGUUGUCGUUUGUAUGACACAUUUUUGUAGAGAAUUCAGUAAUAUGUAUGAUUCAUAAUACAAUCAAUGCUCUGCAAAUUUCAGAUAGCACAAUUGGAAUAAAAAGCUCAUUCCUUGAUUAUGUUUCUCUAGGUAACUCAACUUAUUGUGAUGUUCACUGUAGAUUUCUCCAUGGUCCAAACGACCUUUGUGAUCAGUUAUGUUUAUGCAUUUUGUAGAAUUGUAAAGUCUUUCCCUAACCUGCUGACAUAUUAGCCGGAGCAUAGCACUUUGCCGUUCUGUACCACUCGCCUCUAGGAGGCGCUUGCCGCUUGGUGGCUGCCGUGGCGACCGACGGCAUCCGUACCUGCUCUGUCGGAGAUGGGUGGAGCUGCUCUGCUCUGCCGGUACGAGCUCACUCGCGCCGUGAAUGGCGCGCGCCUCUAAGGUCUCAUCAGCUGCAGGUGCAGAUGGGUGGAGAGCUUAGCGGCGCUAGGUCUUCAGAAGAUGGGGCUUUGCAGCUCUGAAUGGUGAGGCGGGCAGGGACGACGGAGCUGGACGCGUGGGGAGGAGACGAUGGGCAUUUCUGAUAAUAGUUGGAUCGCGAUCCAAAUUAGGGGGCUAUUUACAAAUAAUAGGGGGUAUUCCGUAAAUAUUCGGAUCGCGAUCAUUAAUCGCGAUCCAAAUGAGGGGUUAAUUGAAAUUAUGAUGGGGUGUCUUUUGAAAUUCCGGAUCGCGAUCCCAUCCUCCGCCGCGGCUCGCCGGAGCGCCGCCAGACGCCGGCCAUCCCUUGGGGUACCUCUUCUUCCUUCCGCUUGUCGGAGCCCUAAGACGUGGUCGGUGUUUGAUCUGACAAGGAACCUUGAAGUCCGGACUAACUGAAGAAGACAGACAUGAUGCUGACCUGGAAGACGACGGCCUCGCCAUGGCUGGAUGCGGCGCGGUGGAAGGACAGUGUGGUGGAGGGCGUGGUCCACCACAUUCCGUCGACGGGCGGCGCACUUGCUGUCGCCUGUCGGCUACUUCCAGGCCGUAGCUGAGCUUCAGAGUUCAGACAGGGUGCUUGUGCUUGCAACAAGUUCAGAACGAUGUCAUUAAUUUGAUGCAGAGGAUGGAGCAAACCGGUUGCAAAUUGGAUUCUGAUACAUAUAACUUAAUAUUGAACCUUUAUGUCGAUUGGAAAUAUGAGAAGGGGUGCACCAAAUAUGGGAUGAGAUGGAGAGGAGUGGAUCAGGCCCAGAUCAACGAUCAUUUACUAUUAUGGUUCAUGGUCUUCAUUCCCAAGGAAAGCUUGAUGAGGCUCAACAAUGAAGUCAAGAGGGUUGAUCCCUGAACCAAGGACCAAGAUACUGGUGAAAGCUAUACAUAUGAAGAAAGAUGGGGCUGUCACAGAAGAUCAGUCUGCAAAUAUGACAGGGAAGAAUCUAAAACUGGAUCCACGAUCUAGACUAUUCCAUGUUCAUAAAUAGUUUGCUGUCAGAUCUUACUUCUAUAACCUGAACAGAGGAUUGCUGGGCACGUAUUAUGUGUCAAAAGAAUAUCUUCUACCAGUGUCCAGAUCACAAUGGCCACACCUUGGGCUACAAUAAAUCAUCAGCAAAGUGUAUUGGCAUUAUGUAUCCCAGAAAGUUUUGCUCAGACUUUCAAUGCCAGGGUAUGCUUUUUAUGUCUGAUACGGAUCAAUUGCCAGUACUGUAUUACACCGCUCGUAUUAUGAAGGUUAUGUGAAAUAUGACAGAUGUUUGUUUAUUCAUCUGUUAUGCAUGGCUGUGUCUACUGUCUAGUUCUUGGCUUGUUGCCAACAUAUGCAGCAGCAGGUAGCUUCAGCCGCUCAGAAGCCCAAAUGAAGGAUGGCCCAGGCAGAAUAGCUAUGUCUAGACCCAGAAAGCUUAGGACAUGUCUUGCCAGCCUGCAGUUUUGUACUCGUAGCACCAACCAUCUCCGGGUUCUGGCCGGUUAUAUACAUGAUCUGGAAUGGGCAUCCGCUGAUCGAUUGAAACCUUGAGUUGCUUCCGUGUGUCUUUUGCCAUCUAUAUAUUAUGGUUAGUCAACGGCAUGCAGUACACCCAUGCAUAUGAUUGCAGUAGGAUGACAUGGCGCGACCAGAACCCUUCUUUUGCCAGUUUUAGAUUCUUAUACACGGCCAACUGACGCAGCAGGGAGUGGCAUGCUAAGCAGUUCAGCGUAGGUGGUGUGUUCUUAACUCUGAUAUGGCUUAUGGAAGAACACUGUCACGGUGUCACUGUCCAACCUCUUACUAGGGACAGCAAUGGCCCUGUCCACUGUUUCGUGGCUGGUAUUAUUACCCCUAUGCAGUGAAUCUGACAUGUGGAUCUAUGUGUAUAUUAUGUCGUCAAAAGAACAUUAUUUGAACUCUAUUUGUGGCGCCACCUUUGAUUCUAUUAAUGUGUCAUGGUCAAUUGAUGUCAAACUCUAUUAUCUUCAAGUCUUAUUGUAUUGAUAAAAUCACGAUGCUGCUACUGCCAUUUUGAUGUUUAUAAAAGGGUAUUGAGAACCUGGUGGGUAUCCAUUCGAUGCGCAGGGGUGGGGGUGGGGAAAAAUGAGUGUAAAGGAUAGGGAUACAGUAUUUAGAAAGAUGGGGCUGCCACAGAAGAUAGUCUCCAAGUAUGGCAGGGAAGAAUCUAAAAACUGAUUCCUUGAUCAAGACUGUCCCAUAUUCAUAAAUAGUUCACUGACAGAUCUUGCUUGCAUAUUCUGAACAGCUGAUGCUGGGCACAUAGGAGGUUAACCGGUCAGCGGAUCGAAGGAAAAAAAAAUCUUGCCUGUCAGUGUCCACAAUGGCCUCAUCUUGGGUUAGAGACAAUCAUCCCUAAAGAAUCAUAUUGCCGGAUAAGGUUAUCUGUGAUUGGUGGGUGCAGAUCCAUGCUCAUCCUAGAAACAAGCCAGGGCUAAAUGCGCCACUCAUUUUAGAUGCUUGGAUGUUGUGGUCACACCGAAAUGAUCGUGUGUUUAAUGGAGUUUCCCAUAGUGACUAGCGUGCAGGCUGUCCUCGUAUUCGAGAAAAAAAAAAUCAAUGGGCGAAAUAUUUUCACCCAGGUAAUUGUUGCAUUGUAUGAAUAGGUUAGAGUAUGAAUGUGCGUGUACUGUGACACAAGAAGAUUUAUCAUAUCCAUAUAUGAAUUAGUGUUAAAUUUGCUACAUAAAUAUCUUCUCUUAUCUCAUUGUAUGUGUAUAUAUGACACAGAAGCACAUGUAUAUCGGCAUUGUAGAGAGAGAGAUGAGAGAGAGAAGCUUAUCUGCUUUUUGGAGAUAAAUAUUCAAAUUACUGGUGUAUGAGAGGGAUAUAAUUAUUCUAUUAAAUUGUUUAUUCAACAUCUAAAAAGAUUCCAAUGUUUAGUCAUCUAUAUAGGCAUUGUAGAGAGAGAGACUAGUGUUCAGCUGGUUGGAAGGAUGAGAGAGAGGAGAGAGUUCAGAUGAGAAAGAGACUAGUGUUUAGCUGGUUGGAAGGAUGAGAGAGAGAGAUAGAGUAGAGUUUGGAUGAUAGAGAGAUUAGUGUUCACCUGGUUGGAAGGAUGAGAGGGAGAUGAGAGAGUUCAGAUGAGGAGGUGGAGAGUUUGGAAGAGAGAGAGAGAGGUGAGAGUUUGGAUGAGAGAGAAAGCAGCUAAGAAGGAUGAGAGAGAGAAAGCGGUAUUCAGCUGGAUGGUGGAGACUUCAUAUAUUACUUAGCGUUGCUACGGCGAAACGACGUUGCUUAGCGCGCGAUGUUUUUAUCGUGUCGUGUAGCGCACCACAUUUUUUAUCGUGUUGUGUAACUUUUUUAUUUUAGUAGUAUUAGACUUUUCAUACAUAAGGGGCCACGUGAGUGUGUCCAUAUCCCAACCGUGCGGAGACCGCUUGUCAUUGAAUUUGUUAUCUCUUGCUCUAUCUUGUGAUUGGUAGGCUUCUACAGCAAUUCUGCACAAAGAAGGCCCCACUUCGCCCCACUCCUGACGUCCGGUUAUUCCCACGCCUGCCCUCUCCCUCUCCAAUCCUCACCGCCAGCUCCUCAGGGUCUAGGUCGGCCCGUGAUGUAGUGGCCUAUUAUCCUUCCACCGUUGGAAGCGAGCAGUGAUCGCUGCUCUGUGAACCUAGCCUCAAGCUGUUCCUACCACUUCAGGUCCAGUGAUGCCCGAGCUUUCGCUUGGCCCGAACAGGCCACUACCAACUUGGAACGGGCAAGGCCAGCAAGGGCACAGAAUAGACCCAAGCCCAGAGUCCGCGCCCAACCAUCCACACCACCUUAAUGCCCCCACUUGGGUUACAAGCCCGCGCAACCAAGCUCGGUGAGGAUGGCUCGUGAGGACGAACAUUUAAGCUGGUGCGUUGCUGCUUCAGAUGGCGAGGUGAUACUAAUAUAACGAAUAGGAAAAUUUCACGUGGGUCCCAUGCCGCACCCACCCCUAUCCUUAUCCUUUCUCAUCUCUCUACUGUCUGUCCGGUCCUUAUCCUCCUCAUCUCAUCUCUCUCUCUCAAUCCCUCUCUCUCAAACUCUCUAUCUCUCCUAUCCCCUCUUUCUCUGGAGAACGCGGUGCACGGCCAGCCCCAGCGGCGGCCUGGAGGCGCGAGGUGCCGCCGGCGGCCGAGGGUUGCGGGGCUGCGGCAAGGAGCCUCCUGGCUGUGGAUGCGACGGCCUAGCCACGGGUGCCGGGCCGCGUCACACCGCGCGCUGCUGCCGUCGAGCGGGCCGCACGCACUGCCCACACACCAGGCGGCGUGGGCGGCCAGGCUGAGCGGCGCGGCCGGGGCUGGGGAGGCGACUCUGGUGCGGCCGAGGUAGCUUGGGCACGGCCGGCUGUGGUGGGUAGGGAGAGGUGGACGGCGGCACAACGGCAGCGCGGAGAGGCGGACGUCAGGCACGAACGGGUGAAAGGGGAGACUGGGAAAGAAAGCUGGACCCACCUAUCAAUGCAGCCGGGGCCGGGGCAGCGCGGGCGGCUGAGGCCGAGGCCAGGCGGCGCGGUCGGGGCCAGGGAGGCGGCUCUGGUGCAGCCAGCCGUGGCUGGCAGGGAGAGGCGGACAACAGCGCAACGGCGGCAUGGAGAGGUGGACGUCAGGCACGGGUGGGUGAAAGGGGAGACGGGGAAAGAAAGCUAGACCCACCUGUCAAUGCGUUAAUCUUACCUAUUAUUAAACAUCAGGGCCACCUCUCAUUGAUAGAAGUUGGACCAAACCAAAAAAAAGUGGGCAGAAGUGUUCCUCACUUUAAUAGUAACAAUAAAGUAUAGAUAAUGCAUCCAAACAACAUUUGGAAUUUAAUUCUAAGAAAAACAAAAUAUGAUUCAUGGAAUGAGUUUCAACUCUAGGAAUCCAAACAGGCCUUAGUUAUUUCUUAUGUAGCUCAAAUCAGAUGCAAGGUACGUCCUAACUUAAAAAACGUAAGUUACUUUGUGUUAUCUUGUGAAUCAGUGAUUAAUUACUUCCAAUCUUAUGUAAAAAGAACUACGAGUUAAAUUCUUUGUCAGAUUUAUACUGACAAGUUACAAGCACAUACCUCUGCAGUAACAGGCGAGCCCUAGACUAGUGGGCAAACCAAAAACAACAUGAUUCGUCAACUGAUCGAAUGCUAAUGACUAUUUUGCUAGGAGAAUGAACAUGAUUCAUGAAAAAAAGGGAGCUACUAACUUGGUCAAGGUCUCCGUCCUCUAGCGUGGGGAAGGGGCCAUCUUGCUCCACGCCACGUCUGCGUGGUUGCUCGGCGGGCGCGACGGCGUCGGCUGCGGAGUGCGGACGGCGCGUAGAUAUGUCAUUGUUGAUCAGGACAUGCACUGCUAUCACCGUCUGUUAUUGGUCAAGGUCUCCGUCCUCUAGCGUGGGGAAGGGGCCAUCUUGCUCCACUCCACGUCUGCGUGGUUGCUCGGCAGGCGCGACGGCGUUGGCUGCGGAGUGCGGACGACGCGUAGAUAUGUCAUUGUUGAUCAGGACAUGCACUUCUAUCACCGUCUGUGGUUGGCGUCCGCGGCCGAGCGGGUCAAGGUCUCCGUCCUCUAGCGUGGGGAAACAGGAUCUCUUCAAUCAGUGCUUCUACAGAAACGGUGCACGGUCACCACGGACCAACGACAUACCAUGAGAAAAGCAGAGCGAAAUGUUGCAGUAGCAGAGUGACCGGAGACUGGAGAGCACUUGCUGCUAAAAGCUGCCUCUUAUUUUGUAUCGUCUUAACAGAAGACUUUAAGUCAACCGCCAUUCGAUUCCAAUAUAAACUAGCAAGUUGGCCCGCGAUAAUACUGCGGCUAGAUUUGAUACAGUAUAAUUUUUUUAAAUACUAUGUUAGCUUAGUAUAUUUCUUUGUCCCUCUUGAUUUGUUUUUCAUCCUCUUGAAAUCACUGAGUAUAGUUAGGUGCCUUACUCUACACAUUGAGUAUCAAGCCAUAUGUGUAUAUUUGUUUUUUUGCAAAUGAACUCCGAUGCCACAUGUGCAUAUGCACGCCUAAUUAAAAUUGCUCACUUGUAACAAAAUAAGAACAACUUGAGUAGUUGAUUCUGAUCUUAUGUUGAAGUUUUUGCCAACUUUUCCUAGUAUUGUUGUGUUGAGUAGAAAGCCUGUGUAGAGAAAGAUACAAAACAAACGAUCGUGUCAACUACUCCCCAUGCUUGCUCAAAUGAUUUUGAAAAAAAAAAACAACCGCGCUCUAAGUCCUAGGGCGGUGAUAUUCCUCCUUACUUUCCUCCUCUUGUUUUCCAUGCACAAUCGAGGAUGACAAAUACCACAAACCACUUAGGCUCGAUCAUGUUUCAUCAUCACAUUCCUCAAAUCUUGAUCACGUUGUUGUCUUCAUUAUGCUAGCAGUACACAUCUCUCCGCCUCUUCUAUUCCACAAAACCAUAAUUGUUCACCGGCUCCAGCAUUGUUGUUGCUCUCCACCAAUCGAGGAAGCUCUUGUCCUUGACAUCACCUUAUCCACUGACCAGCUGAAGUUAUCUGUACAUCCAAAGGUCUCAUAAGAUUUUUGCUGGAUUUGCAUUAAUAUUAAUAUUGCCACCAAUCUAGUCUCAACCUCGCCUUGUGUUCUCCGUGGUCAUUUUUUAUUCUAACUUGCAAGCUCCACAACUACAUAUGAUGGUUCUUCUAUAUACAUAAUAUAUCGCAUCUUCUAAGACAUAUAUCGCGGGCCGGCGGCGCGCGGGGGAGCGGCGCCGGUGGAGCGGAGGCGACCGGUGGUGGGCGGAAGCGGGUGGGCGCGAGCGCGGGUGGAGGCGGAAGAGCGUGCAGGCGGAGGCGGAUGGGUGGAGGCGUGCAGCGGCGGCGGGCGCGGGCGUGUGGCAGCAAGGCCGGCGGCGCGGGGAGGCGGAGACCGGUGGCGGCCAGCCGGCGAGCGUGGGGAUUCUUUUUAUUUUUUUCGAAAUUUUUUAGUCCCGAUUAGUGGUUGGUAACCCAACCGGGACUAAAGGGGACCUUUAAUUCCGGGUGGAUGACCCGGGACUAAAAAUCUCCUCUUUUGUCAAGCCAUCACUAUUGUCCAUAUCACAACGCCUGUGCCUUCUCUUGUUGUCCUCCCCCUUCCCUCUACCUUGCACCUUCUGUUUUCCUGAUCCUAUUGCCAGUUUGUUGCAGCCAUUUAUGGGCACCUCUUUCAUCCAUUGUCCACUGUUGUUGCCCGCUGCUUCAGUUCUUCUCUGACCAAAGCGGUCGUAUCGCGCUGGCCGGUAGGAAGCCAUCAUCUCGCAAAAGCGUCAUCGUCGUCGCCAAACCACAUCUAGCCGAUGCCGAACCAUACUUGCCAUCUUCUUUGCCAAUUUGCCGCUAUGGAAGCCUCCAUGCAUCGCUCAUCAAGUCUAUCCUAUCUCUAUCAGCUCCUGUGGUAUCCUGUUUUGUUUUUGCCUCAACCACGAAGCCAUAGGUUGCUGGUGCUAAAUUGCAGGGCUAGCAACAGGUAUUUCCUCUCCCUGGCCUUGCGGCCAUGCUAUGUAUUUUUCUCUUUAAAAAAAUUACAAUGAUUUAAUCCUAAUGUUCCGAUCAUGUGUGAUUGGUUUAUUAAUUAAAGUUAGAGUUAUACUUGAGUAUAUUAUAUAAAAAUAAUAUAUAUAUAUAUAUAUAUAUAUAUAUAUAUAUAUAUAAGUUACCAUACAAAGUACAACUUCCUACAAGGUGGAGAGGUUCGGAUGGAAUUUUGAUUCAACUUACUCUAUUCUAGAUAUUAGAGUUGUACUAGCAAAAUAUGCUAGUAUGUUGCUACGGUAAAAGAUCAAUUGUGUUUUUCAAAUUAAUAAUAUUUUUUAUUUUCAUAACUAAAUUUUUAUUCCACUUAUUGGAUGUCCACACAUUUAAUAGAAAACUAAAAGAAUUUUUUAUUCAAGCAAGAUAGUUAAAUCAGCCUCCGAUGGCCACCGACGGGGGCUCUUUAGGACUCCUUUAGCCCCGGUUGUAAAGCUAGUGGUCCUCGGGAUUCUGGUGAGGCGUUUUGUCCCGGUUGUAACUACCAACCGAGACUAAAGGGGGGGCCUUUAGUCCCGAUCAGUGUUUCCAACACAGACAAAAUGCUCCUCACCUCCACAUACACAAUGCGCGUGCCCCAAUUUCUCUCCUCCCUCCCCUUAAUUCCAGCGGCCAGGCCUCCUCUCCUUAAUUCCAACACCCACAUGCCUCCUCUCCUCCUCCCUUCACCCCCUACCUCCUCUCCUCCCUCUCUCUCUCUCCUCCGCCGGAUCCGGCCGGCCCCCACUCCCUCUCCCCAAGCUCCUCCCUCUCCCUCGGCCGAGGCGGGUGGCGCAGCCGGGGCCAGGGCGGCGUGGGUGGCCAGGGUCGGGGCCAGGGAGGAUGAUAGGUGGUUAUGAGGAUGAUACCUGCAGAUAAUACUUUUAAUCUCAAUUCUUACAGAAGAAUUGCACUAUGAACUACGCUUUCAUUUAUACCACACCGCUCAGCUAUAAAAAAUGGUGCAAAUCGACCAAAAUAAAUGAAUAAAUCACAUGGUUUAGACUGGUGGCAUAUGUAUGUUUGAUGAGUUUUGAAUCCCAACAGACCUCUGUUUGCUUAUCCAACCGGAGGAAAAACCUUUACUUACUAAAUCAGCUUUGCAUGCCAGGCUGCAAUUGUUAGAGCAGAAUUAGGUAAUUUGUGAACAUAAUUGAAUCAAAGUUUUGUCUCUGACAAGUAAUAGAAAAUGGUAAUGCUCCAUAGCAAGAACACGUUCCUACACUAGUUUAAAAAAUUCCCUGAAAUUGGGAACAAUGGUCAAGUCCAAACCAUACUUGCAACUUGGAGGACCGCUGGCCGAUGUAAGUCAAAGUCAAAAACAGAAGGAGACAGCGACGUCUCACCAGAUCACGAAUCAGAUGCGAUGCAUGUGCAUGUUCAGCAAGACAUUGAAAAGCAAGCUCUUCAAUACGCUCCAGCCCAGCUCCACCAUGGCUUUGGCAAUGCGCGUCAUGAGCUUGCUUCCUGCCACCAUCGCCGUGAUGAUCGCAGUGGCCUCUUGGGGAGCGCACGGCGGUGCCAGCGACGAGGCCAGCGCGCUGCUUGCUUUCAAGGCUCAGCUCGCCGGCAGCGGUUCCGGCAUGCUUGCAUCCUGGAAUGGCACCGCUGGCGUCUGCGGCUGGGAGGGCGUGGCGUGCACCGGCGGCCAGGUAGUGGCACUGAGCCUGCCCUCCUAUGGGCUCGCCGGAGCCCUCUCCCCGGCCAUUGGGAACCUCACUUUCCUGCGGACCCUGAACCUGAGUUCCAACUGGUUCCAGGGGGAGGUCCCAGCAAGCAUCGGCCGCCUAGCGAGUCUGCAGACGCUUGAUCUGAGCUACAAUACGUUCUCUGGUACGCUUCCUUCCAACCUCAGUGCCUGUGUCAGCUUACUGCUGUUGAGGCUCAGUAGUAACCGGUUCCAUGGGCGUAUCCCUGUUGAGCUUGGAGACAAGCUAACAAGUCUUCAGAUGUUGUCACUGCGCAACAACAGCUUGACGGGUGCCAUACCAGGAUCACUAGGUAACCUGUCAUCCCUGAUCUACCUUCAUCUGACAGAAAACCACCUCGAGGGUCCGAUCCCACAUGAACUUGGCAGCAUGGGCGGCCUGCAGGUCCUUUUCCUCUAUGAGAACAGACUCUCCGGUGUGCUUCCACACUCCCUGUACAAUCUGUCCUCACUGAAAAGCUUGUGGGUAGGAUACAACAUGCUGUCUGGAACCAUCCCUGCUGAUAUCGGCGAUAGGUUCCCCGGUAUGGAAGCUCUUGACUUUUCUAGCAACCGAUUCAGUGGAGCUAUCCCACCUUCGCUCGCCAACCUCUCUGCUCUCACAAAACUAGUCCUUCAAGGAAAUGAUUUUAUUGGAUAUGUGCCUUCUGCUUUGGGGAAGUUAAGUCUUACUGCCCUUUACUUGGGUGACAACAGGCUAGAAGCAAACGACAGUCAAGGGUGGGAAUUCAUAGCUUCACUGGCAAACAGCUCCCAGCUUCAGCUUCUUGUUCUCGGCAACAACUCUUUCAGCGGGCAACUGCCUAAUUCAGUCACAAACCUGUCAUCAACUCUGCAAGGUCUUUAUUUGGGACCCAAUAUGAUUUCUGGGAAUAUUCCAAUAAACAUCGGAAAUUUGGUUGGUCUUACAGUACUUGAGAUGGCAAAUACUUUUGUAUCUGGACAGAUUCCAGAGAGCAUUGGUCAGCUAAGAAACUUGGUUCAGCUAGCCCUUUACAACACUAGCUUGUCAGGCCUCAUACCUUCAUCACUAGGAAAUCUUACACAGUUGAAUAGCCUUUUAGCAUACUAUGGAAACUUAGAGGGGCCAAUUCCAUCAAACUUGGGGAACUUAAAGAAUGUGUUUUCCUUUGAUCUCUCAACAAAUCGACUCAAUGGUUCAAUUCCUAUAGAGGUUUUAAAACUUCCUCGACUUUCCUGGUACUUAGACUUAUCAUAUAAUUCAUUAUCCGGGCCACUUCCAACUGAGGUUGGUACCAUGGUGAAUCUUAACGAACUGAUUCUGUCUGGAAACAAGUUGUCAGGCACCAUACCAGCUAGUGUUGGGAACUGUAUAUCGUUGGUACGGCUGCUGCUCGAUAACAACUUAUUAGAAGGAAGCAUACCGCAAUCUCUGAAGAACUUAAAAGGUCUUGAAUUACUGAACCUAACAAUGAAUAAGCUAUCUGGUAGUAUUCCUGAUGCCCUUGCUAGCAUUGGCAACCUGCAACAACUGUAUCUUGCACACAACAACUUGUCAGGUUCCAUCCCCAAAGUUCUACAGAAUUUGACAUUGUUGGCAAAACUGGAUUUGUCCUUCAAUGAUCUGCAAGGCGAAGUGCCAAAAGGGGGUCCUUUUGCAAAUGCAACUCGCUUGUCACUUGAUGGAAAUGAUGAGCUUUGUGGCGGAAACCCUCAACUUCAUUUAGCUCCGUGCUCCACAGCUGCUGCGAGGAAGAACAGAAGGCGAAUGUCAAGAUCACUUAUGGUCACCGUUGCGUCAAUCUGCGCAUUUCUAUUCUUAGGUUUAAUAGUUUGUCUUAUCCAUUUGAUCCACAAGAGGCUCAGACAAGGAAAGGAAAAUCAACUCAUUCCCACAGCAAUUGAUGAACAGCACCAAAGGGUUUCAUAUCAAGCAUUAGCAAAUGGGACUGACCAUUUUUCGGAGGUUAAUCUGCUCGGACAAGGAAGCUAUGGUGCAGUUUAUAAGUGCACUUUACAUGACAAGGGAAUUACCGCAGCUGUAAAGGUAUUCAACGUACGGCAAUCUAGGUCUACUAGAAGUUUUGUGGCUGAAUGUGAGGCACUGCGAAGGGUGCGCCACCGAUGUCUCAUAAAGAUCAUCACCUGUUGCUUAAGCAUUGAUCACCAAGGCCAAGAAUUCAAGGCACUGGUUUUUGAGUUCAUGCCCAAUGGUAACCUAAAUGAUUGGCUGCAUCCAGCAUCCAAGAUACAGAGUCUGAGCAAUACGCUCAGCUUAGCUCAGAGACUGAACAUUGCGGUAGAUAUCAUGGAUGCUCUGGAUUAUCUUCACAAUCAGUGUCAACCGCCUAUUAUCCAUUGUGAUCUCAAACCAAGUAACAUCCUCCUUGCCGAAGAUAUGAGUGCUCGGGUUGGAGAUUUCGGCAUAUCAAAAAUCCUUCCUGAAGACACUAGCAAAACUCUGCUGAAUUCAGUUAGCUUCACUGGACUAAGAGGUUCCAUCGGAUAUGUCGCUCCAGGUAACAGAAACUAACACUGAUAUUGCUAUGUUCAGUUUUUAACUUCCAUUUUGCCAAGUCCAGUUAUCUCGGCAUGCACGUUGAUAAGUAGCUUGCCAUGAAUCCACUGACCAAAUAGUGUCUGAAAUCUGAAUUGACUGCAGAGUACGGCGAGGGUCGCGCUGUCUCAACUCUUGGAGAUGUUUACAGCCUCGGCAUACUGUUGCUUGAGAUGUUCACCGGGAUGAGCCCUACUGACGACAUGUUCAAAGGCUCCUUGGACCUUCAUAAGUUCGCCGAGGCCGCUCUCCCCGACAGAGCCUUGGAGGUAGCCGACCCGGCAAUCUGGUUUCAUGAAGAAGCAAAGGGGGAAAACCCUGCCACGGUGAGAAGCAGAAGCGAGAGGUGCUUGGCUUCAGUGAUCGGGCUUGGCGUGUCCUGCUCAAAGCAGCUGCCAAGGGAGCGGACGGCGAUGCGGGAUGCUGCCGCUGAGAUGCGUGCGAUCAGAGAUGCCUUCCUGGUUCAAUGUGCAACAGAGACUUGGCCUGCAGUCGGCACCACCGGCCUUGGAAGCGCAGACAGUUGAAUGGUGGACGGAGCUACGGUCUCUUGACGCACCAAGGAGCACUGGACUAGCAACUCUGCAACUAAACAGAGUGGAGAAAGAGCCCCUUAAUGAACAGAAAAACAGCCGGUGCAAGGCUUUAUACAAAGAAUGUGACAGCCACUGCGUGUAUCCGAGAGCCUUAUCUAAUCUACCAAGGAUUGUCCAUGUACUCCCUCCGUCCCAAAAUAAACACACAUGUCACUUGUCGAGGAGUCAAACUUUCUAAGUUUGACUAAAAUAAUGUACUACUAUUUAUAAUGUAUAAUAAGUAUCAUUAGAUUGAGUAUUGAGUAUACUUUUCUAAUACAUUUAUUUGAAGAUAUAAAUGUUGAUAUUAUUUUCUAUAUUCUUAAUCAAACUUAAAAACGUUUGACUCUCGAGAAGUGAGAUGUGCGUUUAUUUUAGGAUGGAGGGAGUACCCGUCACACGGAUUAGUUAUGAUAUAAGUAGGGACUAGCAAGCACCAAAACCCCAUUCACUGCCCAUGGAUCGCUCAAAUAAAAGAAACCAUUGCAUAUGGUGGUGAUGCGCUGGCGAGCCUUUCUCCAAACUUUCUGCUCUCGCGGACCUUGAACUCGCAUGGAACAAUUUUAGUGGAAGCGUGCCUCCACCUUUAUGGAGAUUGCGAAGCCUCAUUUACCUGUCCGUGGCAAUAAGCUAGGAUUGAAUGACAAGGACGGAUUGGAAUUCAUCACCAUGCUGGCAAACUGCAGUCAGCUUCAGCAACUGGCUUUUGACAAUAAUUCAUUCAUCGGGGAACUUCCUAGCUCAAUUGCAAAUCUAUGGACAACACUCCAAUUACUCUAUAUAGGAAACAAUUGGAUUUCGGGAUUUAUUCCAUCCAGCAUAGGUAAUUUGGUUGGUCUAGAACUGCUUACGUUGGCAAAUACUUUCAUAUCCGGAGUGAUUCCAGAUAGCAUUGGUCGCCUAGAAGGCAUGUCCGUGUUAGGCAUUUACUACACUAGCUUGUCAGGCAUCAUACCUUCAUCACAAGGAAACCUUACACAGUUGAAAGCUCUCUAUGCGUACGAUAGAAACUUGGAGGGUCCAAUUCCAGCAAGCUUGGAGAACUUAAAGAAUCUUUUUGUCCUUGAUCUCUCAACGAAAGUGUGUAACCUGCUAAGAUUUCAUGUCGAAGUAGAGCAUAAACCUCUCUCAAAAGACUGCGAAGCUACCAUAGAGUAGAUCAGUCUAAGGGUCGGACUAUACCCUAUCAACGCCUCCCCUCUUGCCCUUUCGAUAAGAUUACCCCAAAGGUCCAAACUAGAGUCUUUAAUUAAUUAACCAAGACCAAAGCCAUAUAGUUCUUGUGGUUGUACUAUUUUCCUGGGUGGUCGCUCCAUGUUCCAAUUAAGCAUGGCGGUCUUGUAUUAAUAAAAGGUAUAUCAUAAAUAAAACAAGUUUAAUCAUUGAGUUCAUUAAAACCAUCAUAACCCAAGGUAUUGCAACUAAGCAUAUCUACCCAAUAAAAAGGUAAAACCCAGGUUGACAAGGAAUGAUCAUAAAAACUAGGUCAAUAUUAAAUGCAGAGCAGUGUAGAAGUGAUUAAAUAUAGUUAUUGGUACAAAAACACAAACAAGGACACACUUGCCUUUCUCCAAAGAAUAGCUGCUCAGAUUAUCUUCAGCUCUUGUUCCUCAAAGCUCUCGAACAACGUUCCUUCUACUCGCAUCAAUCAUCGGCACAAGUAUACAAAGCAAACAACAAUCACAACUAAGAACAAUACAUCAAUCAUAGGAAAGCUUUAAAAGAGCGUACUAAAGGAUAAGGCUCGAAUCUAAGGUCACACGAAUGCAAGAAACGCUAGGAACGAAACUAUGGUUGAAAAGACAAAGCUAUCGAGAGAUUUGAAUUAUAAAAGAAAGAAAAGCCUAUGUGCUUCAUAUAUUUUAAUAAUGAAAAUAAUGUAAAGAUAUUUUAGAGAGACAUCCUUAGCAAGUUAUAUUUAUAUAUGAAAAGACGAUGUAGAAUAGUCAAAUUUUCUUUAUAAACAUUCAAGUACAAUUUAUGCAAAUUAAAUAUUUAAUUUGAAAAUAAAGUAUAUGUAAACAUCUAAGCGCAUAGCUUUAUGGUUAUGGUUCGGGUUGAACUAACCAAAUAUAAUUCAAAAACACAAUUAUUUUUAUAUUAGUCAAAUUAACAUAUAAUUAUGAAAACUCGAGAUAUAACUUAUGUAGCUUUUAUUUAGAAAACAAAUUGAAUAAAUAUUAAUCAAUUUAAGUUUAAUUAUGAACCACCGUGGUGCAUCUCUAAUUCGCUUUUAAUUGAAAGAGUUGUUUAAUUAAGCAUUAACUAAAUUAACAUUUAUUAUGAAAAGCGGUUAUAACACUAAGUAGCUUUUAAUUAAAGAAGACAUGUUUAACAUGCAUUAAUUAUAUUAAUAUUAAAUUAAUUUUAAAAACAUGCAUGAUGGAAGGAUCACUACUAACAUGUAAUUUGUGUUAUCACGAACCUAACUCAACAAGAACGGAUAUAAACGAAGCUGUAAUGAGGAGCCUAUGGGUUAAACAAGGUCGUAGGGCCUAAUCACGAUUAACGGAAGGUUAUUGGGGUUAGCAAGGAAGAUUUGCAAGACACUAUAAUAGAGCUCGCCAUUAGGUCAAAGCAUAGGGUUAGAUCUAUUAAAGUGCUCAGGUUGGACUUGGUUGCACGGAUCCAAUCUAAUGAGGGACAUGGAUGAAAAAAACAAGACACAAGGAAAAACUAACUAUUUACAAAGCUUUCCGGGGCCUAUGCGCAAAAGCACCACAACUCAGCAUCCAUGGCGGACGGGCUCCUGGAUGGCAAAAUCCUCGUGUCGGAUUUAUAAGCCCACAGUCCACCAAGGGGUUACCCAAGUCGUUGAUUGUGGCGGAACCGCCCAAAUUAACCUGACUAAAAUGCAUUGAAGUCGCCUGACACGCGAUUAUGCACUUUAAGCAAGUCAACUUGGUCGACCGUCGGAUUUCCUCCGAUAAACCACAUAAACAGGAUCGAGAAGCAUCGCUCACGCGAAGGUGAGUAGCACAGAGGUUACAACAAUCCAUCAUGACAACAUAGUUCAACAAUUUAUUACAUCAGAGUUUUUGAAAUUCAAACCGAAAUUUGCAUGGUUCGAAGUCAAAGGAAAACAGCGGAAACUAAACGUCGAUACAUGACAUCACGACGGAGCCGAUCAUGACAUCAAAAAUUUCUUCCUUCGCCAUCCGAGGAAGGAUCCCACUCGACGGUCCAGCCUGGAGGAAGCUGGGUCGGCCAAGUGGUACCAACACCCAAACUAUUGACAUUACCUGAAAAAGAUUAGCCACAACAAGGCUGAGCAACUAGUACUCAGCAAGACUGACCCGUCGGAAAGACACGACCGAGACCUAGACAUGCAAGGCUUUCUGGCUCUGGGGUUUUCUUUGCCAAAAGCGUCUAAAGUCAGUCCUUAUUUUCAACAUUUUAGCUCAUGUUCUAUGUUCUUUAUCCAUUCUAGAUUAGCAACUUAUACUAAACAAACAUGGUUUCCAAGCAAUUACUUAACAAGCAUCAAGAUUAAAAUCAUCAUCAUCAUGUUCCAUCUUUACUCAGUGCAGAAUAGCGAUCAAGUAGUCCCAAUCUGUGAGAGGCAGACGAAUCGAUUCGAAUUUAUUAACCAUGCAUGGCAAACCUAAUCUCACGACAUCCGCGCACCACGAAGGGUCGCUUCAUUUGUCAGCCGUCCCCAUCGAUCCCUUAGGCACGUGUCAGGGCCAACUUCCUUUGGCAUGCAAUGCUCCACAGUCCUGGCCUAUUGCUGCACUGUGACCGCACUUGCACCCACAUGAUGCACCAUGGGAACGACGUUCCAAGGACAGCCGGAGGGUAUGCCACGCCCCAGUUCAAUCAGGUACUAGGCUUCCCCAUCCCAUACUAGGUAUGAGAUUAGUACUUUCAAACACUUGAUCACGAACGCCGACACGUUUCGACCAUAGUUCAUUUUCAUUUAGACAGACGGGGCAAUCCACCAAGUAUCGAACACAAGCCUGACCCCGUCCGUCGUCCUUAUAGUUGCGACAUAUCUGAAAUAUUCAACUCCUAUAACUCGCGAGUGACAGGAGAUCACUCGACUUUUACCGAAACCUAUUAAGCAAUGCAACUACUCGGCAAGGUCUUCUUCCGGCGCCGGGUGAAGCUCGUACGUUCCGUCGGCGAGAUUCAACUCUACACGAAAAUGCAAUGCUGGGGUUAGACAUUUUAGAUGGUUAUUUCAACACACUCAUGUUUUAACACGGACACUUUGCUACAGGAAAGGUGGGGGAGUUCAACUUCUGUUGGUGGAGAACAGGAUGAGAGGGUCGGAUUGGGGGAAACUUAGGGUCUGACCCUCAGGUUUAAGGAAAAACCGUACCGAGGUCGUCAGACUCAACACAGAGGAAUCCCCAAAAUUAUUUCAUCGUACCCUCGGGUCAAAGAAAAAGUUACAACCGAGCCCUCGGGCGAGGCGGAGAAAGGGUCGGCGAAACUUGGCAGGGUCGGGCGAGGCGAAAGGAAAAAGGUCGGGCGAGAUGAAAAGAAAAGGGGUCGGGCGAACCGAAACAAAGGGGUCGGGCGAAACGAAAAGGAAGGGGUCGGUCGAGAGGGAACACAAGGGGUCGGUCGAGACGGAACACAAGGGGUUGGUCGCUUACCUCCAGGUCUACCGGUGAAGCCUUGGGGCCGAACAGGAGUAGGCUGGGGUGGGAAGUCGUACACGCUAAGUCUUGGGCAACGGCGAGUCUUCGACGGUGGUCAGGUGGCGGUGGUGCUUCUUGCGGACACCAGCAAGCUCGAGUACCGUGCGGAGGAGCGGGCGGCUGGUCUGUUGGGAGAAACGGCUUGAGGGUGGCGGCGAAGUCGCCGAAGUGUGGGGGUGGUGUAAAAGGGGUGAGCUCCACGGAAGCUCAGCGGCGGCGCGGGGAGAAAGCGGCGGCGCAGGUGCGGGCGGUGGCAAGGGGUGGCAUUGCCGGUGAGGGGGGUUCCCUUUUAUAGGGUCGGGGUGGCGCGGAGGGUCGAGGCGGGGCUUCGGUGGGGAAAGGAUAAGGCCGGGAGCGGCGAGUGCGCGGACAAGGCGGCCAUUGGCCAGCAACGCCAUUGGGCAGAGGAGGUGGAGCUCCGGGUGGUCUUCGGCGGCGAUUGGCCUUGGGCGACGCCCGUCUGGGGCUUCCGGUCUGUCGGGCGGGCGAGGCGGAGAGCUACCGUGGGGGUUGGGCGAACGGGCGGAGGCGCGGGAUGUCGGGGGCGUGUCAGCUUUCUCGGCGGACGGGCGGAACAGGGUUGGCGGAGCAGAGCCGUGGCAGGCGGAAGGCGGCACGCGCGCAGCCGGCGGUUGGCUGGCCCGGCGUUCGCUCCGUCCUGUCGCAGGCGCGGGUUGGGCGCCGUGGCUCUCGUCCUGUCGCUGUCGUGCUGGGGAUAGGGCGCCGGCGAGCUGCCGGUGGCCGGCGGCCACGUGGCGCGCGGUGCGCGAGCGAACAUGCUCGGGCGUGCGGGCGUCGAGGCUCCCUUCGGGCAGCAAGCCCGACCAGCUUUGGAGUGAUCCUUCCUCCGAAUCUUUCAACACAACUUCCGAAACUCCCUUAAACAAACUUGCUCAACUCUGAUUGUUCUUCAAACUUUGUUUAAGGUGCUGGUUUAGAUUGUGAAAGGAUUCAAAGAUAUUUCCGGCCAAGUUAGCCAAAAAUCUGGGAUUCCAGACUUAGGAUUUAAGGCAUCCGGGGUGAGUUGACUGGUUUACCUCACUUUGACCGGGAUUUUGAACAAGUUCGGGUCCGAUUUGGAUCUGGGUCAGAGUAACAAAGUUGGAAUACACUCGAGGUACUACAACUUUCAUUAAGGCUCUGACUUGGGUUUAGAUAGGAAAACGGGAUAUGAAAGCUUGUAAAGAUGGAGGAAAACUCGAAUUCCAGGACUUAAGAGAUUUUCAGGGUCCUUUAGAAAAACCGGCUUUGGUUGCUGUUUUUGACUUCCUUCCACUCCGAAUUGGUCAAAGUGCUUUUAACAAAAGUUGUUGGAAUUAAAAAGUUUUACAACUCUUAUUUGGGCAGAAACUUAAGUUUGUAUAUAAUAUUUCAAGAUUUAAAUCAAACUCCAAAAGGAGCUUCUUAGGUUUAUAAAGGUCAUUUCACUUCUUAAAUUAGGGAUUUAUCACUGGUUUAGAGUUAAAAGUACUUAAUUUAGGUAGAGUUGUUACAGCCUACCCCCCUUAAAGGAAUCUUGCCCCGAGAUUCAAGUGCAGAAGGAACUAGUGUGGUUGGUGCAAUGUACCUCCUUGCUCGAAAAGAAAACCGCGGAAGUUAGCGUUGAGGUACUCUUCCGUCUCCCAGGUCGCUUCAUCUUCCGUAUGGUUACUCUACUGAAUUUUGUACAUCUUGACCAUUUGCCGACGAGUAUGUCUUUCCUUGCGGUCGAGGAUCUUAACAGGAUACUCCUUAUAUGAUAAAUCGGGUUCGAUCUCCAAUUCUUCCGGGGGAAUGAUUUCAGUUGGAAUCCUGAUGCACUUCUUAAGUUGCGAGACAUGGAAAACAUCAGGUAUUGCUACAAUCUUCUCUGGAAGUUUAACUCGGUACGCUAUGGGUCCACACGCCUCUACGAUCUCAUAGGGACCAAUAUAGCGCGGAGCUAACUUUCCCUUUACUCCAAAACGUUGUACACCUUUGGUCGGUGAAACCCGUAGGUAUACAAAAUCCCCAACCUUAAAUUGGAUGGGUCUUCUUCUUUGAUCGGAAUAGCUCUUGUGUCGAGAUUGGGCGGCCUUGAGAUUUUCGCGGAUGACUCUCACUUUUUCUUCGGCCUCUAUGACCAGGUCAGGUCCAUACACCGUUCGCUCUCCGGGUUGCGACCAGCUCAGUGGGGUCCGGCAUCUACGUCCAUACAAGGCCUCGAAAGGUGCCAUUUUCAGGCUAGCUUGGUAACUGUUGUUGUAGGAGAAUUCCGCUAAUGGCAAAUACCCCAGUUCUUGUCAUAAUGAAUAACACAGGCGCGUAACAUAUCUUCCAAAAUCUGAUUAACCCUUUCAGUUUGCCCGUUGGUCUGAGGAUGAUAUGUGGAACUACGGAUCAAUUGAGUGCCAAGUGAAAACUGCAACUGCUCCCAAAAGCGUGCUACAAACUGACUACCUCGAUCAGAGAUGAUCAUUUUAGGUACUCCAUGCAAGGAAACAAUCCGAUCAAGGUACAAUUCUGCAUAUUUCUGUAUGGUGUGGGUGGUGUGUACUGGAAGGAAAUGUGCCGUUUUGGUUAGUCGGUCUACUAUAACCCAUAUGGAGUCAUGCUUGCGGGGGGUAUUGGGUAGUCCGACUAUAAAGUCCAUGCUUAUGUCUUCCCAUUUCCACGAGGGAAUAGGCAGCGGCUGCAAGGGGCCAGCUACCCUCAAGUGGCUUGCCUUGACUCGCUGACAGGUAUCACACUCUGAAACAUAGCGUGCAAUGUCGGGUUUCAUCCCACUCCACCAGAAAUUUUGUCGGAGGUCGUGAUACAUCUUGGUAUUGCCGGGGUGAAUCGAGAACUUGGAUAGGUGUGCUUCGUGCAGAAUUUGUCUCUUAAGCUCGGGAUCAUUUGGAACUACAAGUCGAGCUUCAUAAUGUACCACUCCUUUCCAGCCCUGUCGGAAACGUUUAUAUCCCUCAUCCUUCUGUGCAAGUUUCCCUUUGAUAAUGUUUAUCUCUUUGUCCUCUAGCUGUGCUAGAAUGAUUUGGUCAAGUAGGGUGGGCUCUAGAGAAAUAUGACUUAAGGUGUCGUGUGGAACAAUUUCCAAGUUGAGUCUAGCCAUUUCGUGACACAGGGUCUCGGCAUAAUUACUCGCCGAUAAGCAGUUACAAUGGAUCUUGCGGCUAAGGGCAUCUGCAACUAUGUUGGCUUUUCCUAGGUGAUAAUGCACUUCUAGGUCAUAAUCCUUGAUUAAUUCUAGCCAUCACCGCUGAUGCAUGUUGAGGUCUUCUUGAGUGAAUAUAUACUUAAGGCUCUUGUGAUCUGUAUAGAUGUUGCAUCGGGUUCCCAUGAGUUAAUGCCUCCAUAUUUUCAGAGCAUGAACGACUGCCGCUAACUCAAGAUCAUGAGUAGGGUAAUUCAACUCAUGUGGUCGUAAUGCUCGCGAGGCAUAGGCAAUGACUCGGCUGUCUUGCAUAAGAACACAACCAAGUCCAGUGCCAGAGGCAUCGCAAUACACAUCAAAUGGCCUAGUGGUGUCGAAAACUUCGAAUCUGAUGAACUGAAGUGGGCGGCUUCCAGUCCAUUACUUCUUGCACCUUGCUUGGGUCUACUGCUAUACCGUCUCUGGAUAUGGUGUGUCCCAAGAAUUUAACACUGUCCAGCCAAAAGUCACACUUAGAGAAUUUGGCAUAGAGUUGGUGGUCUCUUAAGCGUUGGAGUAAAGUAUGUAGGUGCUCUGCAUGUUUUUCUUCAUUCUUCGAGUACACCAAGAUGUCGUCAAUGAAUACCACGACGAAUUUGUCGAGUUCGGGCAUAAACACCGAAUUCAUGAGGUACAUGAAAUAAGCCGGUGCAUUAGUAAGCCCAAAUGACAUGACUAAGUACUCGUAGAGUCCAUAUCGUGUAGAAAAGGCAGUCUUUGGAAUGUCGCACGGGCGGAUCUUGAUUUGAUGGUAGCCAGAACGGAGGUCAAUUUUGGAAAACACUCUAGCUCCAGCUAAUUGGUCGAACAGAACAUCAAUGCGGGGUAGUGGGUACUUAUUCUUUAUCGUCACCGCAUUGAAAGGUCGGUAGUCCACACACAUACGCAGACUAUCGUCCUUCUUUUUCACAAACAAGGCAGGGCAACCCCAAGGUGAUGUACUUGGGCGAAUAAAACCCUUUUCCAACAAAACAUGCAACUGAGUUUUCAUUUCUGCUAGUUCGGCUGGUGGCAUCCGGUAUGGUCUCUUUGAAAUUGGGGCGGUACCUGGUUGCAACUCAAUGGCAAACUCGAUGUCUCUCUCAGGCGGCAUACCCGGCAAAUCGUCUGGAAACACAUCCGGGUACUCGCACACUACUGGGAUAUCUUCCAAUCGGGCUUUAGACACGGGAUAGGCACAAGAAGUUUGGCACUCUCGGGGAGGUAAGUGUAUAGUCGAGCUACCAUACUUGGGUGAAUUUAUAUGGAUUGCCCUGGCAGGGAUAUCUAGGGUCACUUGGUGUCGGGUCAUCCAAUCCAUACGCAAGAUAACAUCUAUUCCUUCUAUCCCAAGGGUAAGCAGAUCUUCCUUAAGAAGGGUCCUCCCUAACUGGAUAGGUACUCUGCAGCUUACUUGGUGUGAAGUUACCUUUCCACCCGGGGUAGAGAUUAUGUAGGUACCUUUGGUGUGACAGAAAUCUAACCCACACUUAGCACUGAUUCUAGUCCCAAUGAAACUAUGAGAUGCUCCCGAAUCAAACAGAAUAAGGACGGGUUGAUCACAGAUAGAAAAGGUACUCGUCAUCACUGGUGCGCCCUCUGGAAGUUCAGCAAGGGUGGUGAAGUUCAGCCUGCCUUGUCGGACCUGCACCUUUGGCUUCUUCCCCUUGUUGCCCAGUGUAUGGCUCUGACUGGGUCGUUGAUUCUGGUUGCGGGGGCAGUCCUUGGCGAAGUGUCCUGGGUUCCCGCAAGUGAAACAGCGGUUUCCAGUGACCGGGCGCAGCGGCAUCGGGAGAGCAGGGCGGGGUCCUUGCGGCUGGAAUCCGGGGAAACGAGGUGCUGCCUGCGGUGGAGGUCGAGCAACCCAUCUCCCAGGCUGUGCGGGCGUGCGAGGUGCUUGUGGGGAAACCAUUCUGUACUUCUGGGCAGGCGGGCUGGGUGCCGGCAUUGGGGCCUUCCUUUUCAUGUCGGCCUUGAGGGCCCUCAUGCAAUCUUCCUGGGAAAUGGCCAGGUUCACCAGUUCAUUGUAGGAACCCACUUUGAUGGGAUUCAGCCUUUCCUUGAGCUUCAAACUCAAGCCUCUGCGGAAACGGUCCCUCUUUUUCUCAUCGGAGUCCGCAUGGUAGCCUGCAUAGCGACACAGGUCAUUGAAAGCCUGCGCAUAGUGCAGACAUCGCGGCCUCCCUGGGUGAGAGCCAGGAACUCGUUGAGCUUGCGCUCCAGAAGACCUUCAGGGAUGUGAUGGCCCCUGAACGCCGUCUUGAAUUCCUCCCAACCGACGACGUGGUCGGCCGGCUGCAUGGCAUGGUAGUGAUCCCACCACAGGAGAGCAGAACCACGCAACUACUGCGCGGCGAACCGAACCUUGUUCUCGUCCGGGCAGUAGGCGGUGAGAAGGGAGAACUUGGACUCGAUAGUGCGAAUCCAGGCAUCGGCGUCAAGUGGGUCCUCCGUCUUGUGAAAUAGAGGAGGCUGGGUCCCCAGAAAAUCUUCGUAACGAGCAACAUGGGGCUGUUGAUGGGCCCUUCCUCCCUGAGGCUGCUGCUGCUGCUGCCCCUGAGCGAUGUGCCUCAACAGCUCGGUCUGGGCUGCCAAGAUCGACUCGAGGGUGGUCGGAGGCGGAGGUGGGGGAGGCACCUCGCUGCCACUGGGAACGGAGCCGGAGCGUGUGCGAUGCGCCAUCCUUGGGCGAGCCAAAACCUUAUCCCCGGGGUCUCACUAAUUCCGACCUCUGGUGCCGGGGUCGGGCGAAACGGAGCUUCUCAACACGGGAUCGGACAAAACGGAGCCUUUCAUCCCGGGGUCGGGCGAGGCGGAGACCUGCCGCGAGGGGUCGGGCGCGUCCGACCUCGCGACUCGGGGUCGGUCAACUUUGGACAGGCCCACAGGAGACGGGUGUGUGGUCACAGCACCAAAACCCACACAACUUGGCAUUCACGGCGCGUCGCAAAGGGUCAAAAGUCGAGUCAAGAGUGAAAGAAAAACAGGAACUGCUUUCACCAAGAUCAUUUCAUUGCUGGUCUUAAAAUAUAGGAGGAGUACUCAACUCAAGGCUAACCUAUUACAUCAUUGGCCAAAAAUAUAGGUCGUCGAGGAGUACAAUCAAAAAUAAAAUAGAACCGCUCAACCUAGUUUGUUAUAACUAGAAGUCGUCGAGGUUGCCCACGGAGGCAAAGCUAAGGACCGGAGAGUGAGCAUCACCAACUGGAGGCUGCGGUGAGGCAUUCUCAUAGUCCAUGCUUGAAAAGCCUUCGAUCUCCUCAGGCUCCUCCUCCUGGGCCAUCGGCUCAUCCAGCUGCACCUCUAAGGCGUGGAUGGCAUUAAGCUCAUCGUGAUGCUCCUGCAGGUGCUCAUUGGCGUUCGCCAGCUCCAUGUUCACAUCAUAGAACUGGUCAGCCAAGAUCUCCAUAUCGUGAUCCAUAUCCACAAUCUCUUCCUCCAAACGAGUAAUCUUGUCCUGCAUCUCAGCAAUCUGAACAUCCUUCUGUACCAGCUCGAGCGACUGGUCCACCAUGCCACUCUGCACGGUAGACAAGGCAACCUGGUUGGCCACUGCCAUCCCAAUCACCAUAGCCAUCGCUCGGCUCUGCAGCUCAACCAUCCUGUAGAACACAUUCAGGCAACGAGCUGAAACAAAAAUCGUGCACUGAGGAUCCAUAAGCCCGAGCAAGUCCAUAUGCUCCAUACGAUCCAACCAGUCCGGGUCCCUCGUACCCCGGGCAGGGAACAACCCAAUCGGGUCUAGCAUGAUCUCAAGAGGGUGUGCCCAGCAAAACUGGGUCAAGGUCUGCAAGGCUGCGAACUCCCAGGCGUCGUGGAGCGUGUGUCCCUCAGCCACUACCUCCAACAGCGACAACGGUGGCUGAUCCGGAGGCGGGGGUACCCGCACGUGUAUGCGGCUCCGCGGAAUCCCGUGGUCCUGGUACGCACGGCCCGCAUAAACCGGCGGCGACUGGUACCCGAAAGAGCGCAGGGUGUCCCACAACACAGUUGGAAAACCCUCGUAGUGAAGGCACCGUGAGUAGGUGGUGCCCUCCGUACCGACUGCCACGUGCACGGGCUGCGCCAUCUGUAACCAAGGGUCACGUGAGAAAUGGGGUUAACACUUGGAAAUCAAACAGAUUUCUGGCAGUUAGAGAAAAGCUCAUAACUCAGCAAGUAUUCCUCCAAAAUUUCUCAAAUUUUACCAGCAUGUUCUUUAGAUAGUGGGUAACAAGUUUGGUAUUCAAAGGUAGGGCUAGAACAGACCUAACAAGGUGAUAAUCUCAGAUUCCCAUUAAGUAUACCUGCUGGAACUCUUCAGACCGAGUCAAGAUAAACUGAAUACAUCUUCCAAACCAGAGACUUAACAAAACCGAAACUCUACCAGUAAGUCCUUCACUAAGUUCUAAAAAACUCUGCUUAAAGGACUCCUCGCAGAAAAGGUCCUUAAGGUGGUCGAAAUAGCAGAAACUCCGUUGGUGUGCACUUUGGGCUAACAGCCAACAGGGGGUCACCAAACUGAUCACAACUCUCAACCCAAAUGGUAGUACCUUGAGGCAGUUUUACUUGGGAGUUUUAACACAACUUUCUUAUACAAAGUUUCUGGAGUUAGCAUGGCGGAAAAAGGACAGCUAGACAAUCCUUAACGCGGUGCAUUACUUUUUACGACGUACUCGAGUUUGGUUUUAUUUCCUUAGGUUGUGAUUUUUAUUUCUUAAUGCAUGCACGUCCUAGUCGUCCUCUCAACCAAAAAUAAUUUCCAAAAACCUUUGGACUUACGUGGUCAGUGCCGGUGGCAAGGCAACAAUACGGCUCUCACUAUAAUAGCUAGUCGAGUUACUAGGCCUCGUUUCGAACGCAACGUUUGUUAGUGUACCUGCAGAAAAACACAACACAGCUUGAACCUUCCGUGCCAGCACUCAUGAAAGCGUCCACAAUCAUUACCGUUCACUAUAGAAAUGGCACCCAUGCGUUUAACACUGCAUGGACAGUGCAACAACCGUGGAAAUAGGUUCCUUUGAAUAGAAUCCUAUAACCCUUCGCAUUCUCGUGAUGCAGAAUCAUGCACACGUGUAACAAACGUGGGCGAACAACCGUGACGAUAGGCUCGUUGGAAUCGAACCAUACCAUCCUUCGCAUGUAUUAACAUACGGAACCUGCGCACGUAUAAUAGAUGUGGGCGAAACAACCGUGAUGAUAGGCUCGUUGGAAUCGAAUUCCCAUCACCCUUCGCAUACUCGCGAUGCGGAUUUCGGCACACGUAUGAUAGACAUGGCAACAAGUGCUGGAAGUUAGAAGAUAACCAAUAACUAUUAGCCACCUUAAAAAUAACCCCAAAAUCCCCUAGGGCUCCUCGAACUAAACUCAUCCUUAGCGAACUUACGAAUUUCUCAAUUUUACUUCUUCCAAAUUUUAGUUGGAAAAAGAGUUUUAAGGUUUGUUGUUCUCCGUACUGUGCUUCGAGCUCUGAUACCAGCUGUGGCGGAACUGCCCAAAUUAACCUGACUAAAAUGCAUUGAAGUCGCCUGACAUGCGAUUAUGCACUUUAAGCAAGUCAACUUGGUCGACCGUCGGAUUUCCUCCGAUAAACCACAUAAACAGGAUCGAGAAGCAUCGCUCACGCGAAGGUGAGUAGCACAGAUGACAACAUAGUUCAACAAUUUAUUACAUCAGAGUGUUUGAAAUUCAAACUGAAAUUUGCAUGGUUCGAAGUCAAAGGAAAACAGCGGAAACUAAACGUCGAUACAUGACAUCACGACGGAGCCGAUCAUGACAUCAAAAAAUUUCUUCCUUCGCCAUCCGAGGAAGGAUCCCACUCGACGGUCCAGCCUGGAGGAAGCUGGGUCGGCCAAGUGGUACCAACACCCAAACUAUUGACAUUACCUGAAAAAGAUUAGCCACAACAAGGCUGAGCAACUAGUACUCAGCAAGACUGACCCGUCGGAAAGACAUGACCGAGACCUAGACAUGCAAGGCUUUCUGGCUCUGGGGUUUUCUUUGCCAAAAGCGUCUAAAGUCAGUCCUUAUUUUCAACAUUUUAGCUCAUGUUAUAUGUUCUUUAUCCAUUCUAGAUUAGCAACUUAUACUAAACAAACAUGGUUUCCAAGCAAUUACUUAACAAGCAUCAAGAUUAAAAUCAUCAUCAUGUUCCAUCUUUACUCAGUGCAAAAUAGCGAUCUAGUAGUCCCAAUCUGUGAGAGGCAGAAAAUCGAUUCGAAUUUAUUUACCAUGCAUGGCAAACCUAAUCUCACGACAUCCACGCACCACGAAGGGUCGCUUCAUUUGUCAGCCGUCCCCAUCGAUCCCUUAGGCACGUGUCAGGGCCAACUUCCUUUGGCAUGCAAUGCUCCACAGUCCUGGCCUAUUGCUGCACUGUGACCGCACUUGCACCCACAUGAUGCACCAUGGGAACGACGUUCCAAGGACAGCCGGAGGGUAUGCCACGCCCCAGUUCAAUCAGGUACUAGGCUUCCUCAUCUCAUACUAGGUAUGAGAUUAGUACUUUCAAACACUUGAUCACGAAGGCCGACACGUUUCGACCAUAGUUCAUUUUCAUUUAGACAGACGGGGCAAUCCACCAAGUAUCGAACACAAGCCUGACCCCGUCCGUCGUCCUUAUAGUUGCGACAUAUCUGAAACAUUCAACUCCUAUAACUCGCGAGUGACAGGAGAUCACUCGACUUUUACCGAAACCUAUUAAGCAAUGCAACUACUCGGCCUUAGCAACUAGUAUUCAAAAACAAGGUACUAAGUUUAUGCAUCUAAGGUUCCAUUACAACUCCUCGAAACGUAAAUGCGCAAUCAAGUAAUCAAUAAUAUUGCAUGAACUCAAGAUAGGAAUUUAUGCUCCGGGGCUUGCCUUCAGGAAAAGCUUGCGGGUCCUCGGGGUCUUGCUCCGGUUCGGGCUCUCCUUCGAAGGGAUGCAGUUCCUCGGCGGGGUCUUCUUUCGGCGCCGGGUGAAGCUCGUACAUUCCGUCGGCGAGAUUCAACUCUACACGGAAAUGCAAUGCAGAGGUUAAACAUUUUAGAUGGUUAUUUCAACACACUCAUGUUUUAACACGGACACUUUGCUACAGGAAAGGUGGGGGAGUUCAACUUCUGUUGGUGGAGAACAGGAUGAGAGGGUCGGAUUGGGGGAAACUUAGGGUCUGACCCUCAGGUUUAAGGAAAAAUCGUACCGAGGUCCUCAGACUCAACACAGAGGAAUCCCCGAAAUUAUUUCAUCGAUACCCUCAGGUCAAAGAAAAAGUUACAACCGAGCCCUCGGGCGAGGCGGAGAAAGGGUCGGCGAAACUUGGCAGGGUCGGGCGAGGCGAAAGGAAAAAGGUCGGGCGAGACGAAAAGAAAAGGGGUCGGGCGAACCGAAACAAAGGGGUCGGGCGAAAUGAAAAGGAAGGGGUCGGUCGAGACGGAACACAAGGGGUCGGUCGAGACGGAACACAAGAGGUCGGUCGCUUACCUCCAGGUCUACCGGUGAAGCCUUGGGGCCGAACAGGAGUAGGCUGGGGUGGGAAGUCGUACGCGCUAAGGCUUGGGCAGCGGCGAGACUUCGACGGUGGUCCGGCAGCGGCGGUGCUUCUUGCGGACACCAGCAAGCUCGAGUACCGCGCGGAGGAGCGGAUGGCUGGUGUGUUGGGAGAAACGGCUUGAGGGUGGCGGCGAAGUCGCCGGAGUGUGGGGGUGGUGCAAAAGGGGUGAGCUCCACGGAAGCUCAGCGGCGGCGCGGGGAGAAAGCGGCGGCGCAGGUGCGGGCGGUGGCAAGGGGUGGCAUUGCUGGUGAGGGGGUUCCCUUUUAUAGGGCCGGGGUGGCGCGGAGGGUCGAGGCGGGGCUCCGGUGGGGAAAGGAUAAGGCCGGGAGCGGCGAGUGCACGGGCAAGGCGGCCAUUGGCCGGCGACGCCAUUGGGUAGAGGAGGCGGAGCUCUAGGUGGUCUUCGGCGGCGAUUGGCCUUGGGCGGUGCGCGUCUGGGGCUUCCGGUCUGUCGGGCGGGCGAGGCGGAGAGCUACCGUGGGGGUUGGGCGAACGGGCGGAGGCGCGGGAUGUCGAGGGCGUGUUAGCUUUCUUGGCGAACGGGCGGAACAGGGUUGGCGGAGCAGAGCCGUGGCAGGCGGAAGGCGGCACGCGCGUGGCCGGCGGUUGGCUGGCCCGUUCGCUCCGUCUUGUCGCAGGCGCGGGUUGGGCGCCGUGGCUCUCGUCCUGUCGCUGUCGUGCUGGGGAUAGGGCGCUGGCGAGCUGCCGGUGGCCGCUAGAUUUUUCUCACUAUGAAUAUAAUUCAUAGCAAUUACUUUGGAGUUUUUCAGCUUUCUAACAGAUUUAAGCCUCCGCUUCACAUGCCUCGAGGACUUCAUAUUAUCCUUAGUACUCAUAACUUUGAUCAAUACCGUUUGGUUAUCAUAGUACAUAAGGAUUGCCGGAACUGGUUUCUCCACCAGUGGCAAGUCCAUGAGUAGCUCUCUUAGCCACUCGGCCUCAACAGUAGCCGUGUCAAGUGCUACAAGCUCAGCUUCCAUGGUUGACCACGUCAAAAUGGUCUGUUUACACGACCUCCAUGAAACUACAGCACCUGCUAGUGUAAACAUAUAGCCACUCGUGGCUUUAAUUUCAUCCGCAUCAGAAAUCUAGUUGGAAUCACUAUAUCCUUCCAAUGCAGAUGGAUAACCAGUAUAGUGAAUUCCAUAUUCGAUUGUACCUCUCAUGUAACGUAGCACUCUCUCUAGUGCCUCCCAAUGAUCCUUCCCUGGAUUGGAAGUUAAACGACUUAAUUUGCUCACAGCAAAAGAUAUGUCGAGACAUGUUGCACCAGCAAGAUACAAAAGGGACCCAAUUAUUUGUGAAUAUCUCAAAUGGUCCAUCCCUUCAUCUUUAUUUUUCCUUAGCUUUACACUAGCAUCGUAGGGUGUAGGGGAUACUUUUGCAUUUUCAAAGCAAAAGCGACAAAAUAAUUUUUUCACAUAAUGAGAUUGAUUUAGAAUAAUCCCAUUCUCAUUUUUGGUCAACUUAAUAUUUAGGAUAACACUUGCUUCUCCCAGAUCCUUCAUGUCGAAGCCUGAAGAUAAGAAUGAUUUGACCUUCAAGCCCACUGCACACCGAAUUCGAAGGUCGACAAGGCGCCAUAGCAAGAGAUUCAGCACAGCGAGUGGGAAGACGAGCGUGUAACAGCGUCCAUUCAACCAGGACAUCUCCUGGUGUUAUAGACCUUCGUAGUGCAUCAGUUUCCCCAUCAAACAGCCUCAUCAAGCAGUAGAAACUGCCAAUUUGAACGAUAGAAACGGCUUCCAUCAAAUUGUUGAAACUGACACACCUUAUUGCUGUUUAAAACGGCAAUUUCAAUCACAUUGAAUUGCCAUUAGGCUCAGCAUAAAAAAAAUAAUAACUGCACAAACAAUAGUCACAACUCACGCGAUUUUCCACGUGAAAAUGUGCGUGAGCUUCAUGUGCGUGUAGCAACAAUCUCCUUCUCUCUCAUUUGCAUCUAUUUUGCAUAGAGAGGAGACUCCCAUAUUUAAGCAAGGCAACCUCUCCUUGAAUUAGCAAUAUAAGACUAAAGGUUGUGUAUGCUUUGGAAUUUUCUAAUUGGGCCACAUAUGGGCCUAAAUCCAAGACGGUGAAGGUUCUUCUAUCUCAACUCAAGGUGACGUUUAUAGCCUCGGCAUAUUGCUUCUUGAGAUGUUUACUGGAAGGAGCCCAACGGAUGAGAUGAGAUAUUCAAUGAUUCUUUGGAUUUGCACAAGUUUUCAGCGAAUGCUCUUCCAGAGAGAAAACGGGAUAUAGUUGAUCCGACAAUAUGGAUGCACACAGAUGCCUAUAACAGCACUAUAAGAAGUGGAAUUAAGAAUUGCUUGCUUUCUGUUGUUUGUCUUGAAAUAUCAUGCUCGAAGAAACAACCUAGGGAGCAGAUCCCGAUUCAGGAUGCAGCCAUUGAGAUGCACGCUAUUAGAGAUUCGUAUCUCAAGUUUGCCAGAUCUCUUUUGGUGGAGCAUGGAGUAGUAGCAACAACUCACAGUGAUUUCCCACAACAGUGAAUACAUAGGACUGAAAAUGGGCAAGAUGUUGCAGGUGAUCAGUUUACCUGAAAUAACUGAAGAUGUAUGAAGCUUCAGCUUUAUAAUUCGUCCAUGCAUUUGUUUGCAUCAGAUAUAUGGAAGUAUAAAAUAAGUUUAGAAAAUGUUUCAAAAUAGAUUAGAUCCAGAGGUUUUACUUGUCGUCUGUAUGACACAUUUUUUGUAGAGAAUUCAGUAAUAUGUAUGAUUCAUAAUACAAUCAAUGCUCUACAAAUUUCAAUAGCACAAUUGGAAUAAAAAGCUCAUUCAUUGAUUAUGUUGCUCUAGGUAACUCAACUUAUUGUGAUGUUCACUGUAGAUUUCUCCAUGGUCCAAACGACCUUUGUGAUCAGUUAUGUUUAUGCAUUUUGUAGAAUUGUAAAGUCUUUCCCUAACCUGCUGACGUAUCAGCCGGAGCAUGAGAAGGGGGUGCACCAAAUAUGGGAUGAGAUGGAGAGGAGUGAAUCAGGCCCAGAUCAACGAUCAUUUACUAUUAUGGUUUAUGGUCUUCAUUCCCAAGAAAAGCUUGAUGAGGCUCUGCAAUAUUACACAACAAUGAAGUCAAGAGGGUUGAUCCCUGAACCAAGGACCAAGAUACUGGUGAAAGCUAUACAUAUGAAGAAAGAUGGGGCUGUCACAGAAGAUCAGUCUGCAAAUAUGACAGGGAAGAAUCUAAAACUGGAUCCACGAUCUAGCCUAUUCCAUGUUCAUAAAUAGUUUGCUGUCAGAUCUUACUUCUAUAACCUCAACAGAGGAUUGCUGGGCACGUAUUAUGUGUCAAAAGAAUCUCUUCUACCAGUGUCCAGAUCACAAUGGCCACACCUUGGGCUACAAUAAAUCAUCAGAAAAGUGUAUUGGCAUCAUGUAUCCCAGAAAGUUUUGCUCAGACUUUCAAUGCCAGGGUAUGUUUUUCAUGUCUGAUAUGGAUCAAUUAUAUUGCAAGUACUGUAUUACACGCUCGUAUUAUGAAGGUUAUGUGAAAUAUGACAGAUGUUUGUUUAUUCAUCUGUUAUGCAUGGCUGUGUCUACUGUCUAGCUGUUGGCUUGUUGCCAACAUAUGCAGCAGCAGGUAGCUUCAGCCGCUCAGAAGCCCAAAUGAAGGAUGGCCCAGGCAGAAUAGCUAUGUCUAGACCCAGAAAGCUUAGGACAUGUCUUGCCAGCCUGCAGUUUUGUACUCGUAGCACCAACCAUCUCCGGGUUCUGGCCGGUUAUAUACAUGGUCUGGACUCUGGAAUGGGCAUCCGCUGAUCGAUUGAAACCUUGAGCUGCUUCCGUGUUUGUCUUUUACCAUCUAUAUAUUAUGGUUAGUCAACGGCAUGCAGUACACCCAUGCAUAUGAUUGCAGUAGGAUGACAUGGCGCGACCAGAACCCUUCUUUUGCCAGUUUUAGAUUCUUAUACACGGCCAACUGACGCAGCAGGGAGUUGCAUGCUAAGCAGUUCAGCGUAGGUGGUGAGUUCUCAACUCUGAUAUGGCUUAUGGAAGAACACUGUCACGGUGUUACCUAGCCGGUUGGAGGCCAACCUCUUACUAGGGACAGCAAUGGCCCUGUCCGGCCACUGUUUCGUGGCUGGUAUUAUUACCCCUAUGCAGUGAAUAUGACAUGUGGAUCUAUGUGUAUAUUAUGUCGUCAAAAGAACAUUAUAUGAACCGUUGAUCCACCUUUGAUUCUAUUAAUGUGUCAUGGUCAAUUGAUGUCAAACUCUAUUAUCUUCAAGUCUUAUUGUAUUGAUAAAAUCACGAUGCUGCUACUGCCAUUUUGAUGUUUAUAAAAGGGUAUUGAGAACCUGGUGGGUAUCCAUUGGAUGCGCAGGGUUGAUGGUGGGGAAAAAUGAGUGUAAAGGACAGGGAUGCAGUAUUUAGAAAGAUGGGGCUGCCACAGAAAAUAGUCUCCAAGUAUGGCAGGGAAGAAUCUAAAACUGAAUCCUUGAUCAAGACUGUCCCAUAUUCAUAAAUAGUUCACUGACAGAUCUUGCUUCCAUAUUCUGAACAGCUGAUGCUGGGCACAUAGGAGGUUAACCGGUCAGCGGAUCAAAGAAAAUCCACAAUGGCCUCAUCUUGGGUUAGAGACAAUCAUCGGUAAAGAAUCAUAUUGCCGGAUAAGGAUAUCUGUGAUUGGUGGGUGCAGAUCCAUGCUCAUUCAAGAAACACAUGAUUCUUUACGGAUGAUCAUCUCUCAGCACACCCUGCUGAUAAGGUUAUCUGAGAUUGGUGGGUGCAGAUCCUAGAAACAAGCUAGGGCUGAAUGCGCCGCUGUACUUGGAUGUUGUGGUGACACCGUAAUGAUUGUGUGUUUAACGGAGUUUCCCAUAGUGACUAGCGUGCAGGCCGUCCUCGUAUUUGAGAAAAAAAUCAAUGGGCGAAAUGUUUUCACCCAGGUAAUUGUUGCAUUGUAUGAAUAGGCUUAGAUACCUGGUUACUGUGACACAAGAAGAUUUAUCAUAUCUAUCUAUGAAUUAGUGUUAAAUCUCCUACAUAAAUAUCUUCUCUUAUCUCACUUUAUGUAUAUAUAUGACACAGAAGCACAUGUAUAUCGGCAUUGUAGAGAUAGAGAUGAGAGAGAAGCUUAUCUGCUUUUUGGAGAUAAAUAUUCAAAUUACUAGUGUAUGAGAGGGAUAGAAUUAUUCUAUCAUAUUGUUUAUUCAACAUCUAAAAAGAUUCCAUGUUUAGUCAUCUAUAUCGGCGUUGUAGAGAGAGAGACUAGUGUUCAUCUGGUUGGAAGGAUGAGAGAGAGAGGAGAGAGUUUGGAUGAGAUAGAGAGAUAGUGUUCAGCUGGUUGGAAGGAUGAGAGAGAGAGAGAGGAGAGUUUGGAUGAUAGAGAGAUUAGUGUUCACUUGGUUGGAAGGAUGAGAGGGAGAUGAGAGAGUUCGGAUGAGGAGGUAGAGAGUUCGGAAGAGAGAGAGAGGUGAGAGUUCGGAUGAGAGGUGUGAGAGAGGUGAGAGUUCGGAUGAGAGAUAAAGUAGCUUAUAAGGAUGAGAGAGAGAAAGCGGUAUUCAGCUGGAUGGUGGAGACUUCAUAUAUUACUAAUAAUGCAUCCAAACAACAUUUAAAAUUUAAUUCUAAGAAAAACUUUCUCGGUAAAUCAAAACAAGAAAAUUCAAUUGAAUCAAAUUCUACGGAAUCCAUUUCCUAUGAAAUCUAAUUGCUAGAAUAUGAUUCAUGGAAUGAGUUCCAAUUCUAGAGAUCCAAACGGGCCCUAAGAGAAUUGUAGUGAUCAACUCCCAAGUUGCAAUAUAUCCUAGGAAAUAGGUGGUUAUGAGGAUGAUACCUGCAGACAAUACUUUUAAUCCCUCAAUUCUUACAGAGAAUUGCACUAUCAACUGCAUUUUCAUUUGUGCCACGCUGCUCAGCUAUAAAAAACGGGGCAAAUCGACCAAAAUAAAUGAAUAAACCACAUGGUUUAGACUGGUGGCAUAUGUAUGUCUGAUGAGUUUAGAAUCCCAACAGACCUCUGUUUGCUUAUCCAACAGGAGGGAAAAAGUUUACUUACUAAAUCAGCUUUGCAUGUCAGGCUGCAAUUGUUAGAGAGUAGAAUUGGGUAAUUUGUGAACAUAAUUGAAUCAAAGUUUUGUCUCAGACUAGUAAUAGAAAAUGGUGAUGCUCCAUAGCUAGAACAACACGUUCCUACACUAGUUUAAAAAAUCCCCUGAAAUUGGGAACAAUGGUCAAGCCCAAACCAUACUUGGAACUUGGAAGGCCGCUGGCGGAUGUCAAAGUCAAAAACAGAAGCAGACAGCGACGUCUCACCAGAUCACGAAUCAGAUGCGAUGCAUAUACAUGUUGCAGGCAUUAGCACGCAUCCCUUAGGAUUAAACAAUUCAGCAAGUAGCUCCCCUGCUGACCAAGAAAAGCAAGCUCUGUCUCGCAGCAAGCUCUUCAAUACGCUCCAGCCCAGCUCUACCAUGGCAUUGGCAAUGCGCGUCAUGAGCUUGCUUCCUGCCACCAUCGCCGUGAUGAUCGCAGCGGCCUCCUGGGGAGCGCACGGCGGUGCCAGCGACGAGGCCAGCGCGCUGCUUGCUUUCAAGGCUGAGCUCGCCGGCAGCGGCUCCGGCAUGCUUGCAUCCUGGAAUGGCACCGCUGGCGUCUGCAGCUGGGAGGGCGUGGCGUGCACCAGCGGCCAGGUGGUGGCACUGAGCCUGCCCUCUUAUGGGUUCGCCGGAGCCCUCUCCCCGGCCAUUGGGAACCUCACUUUCCUGCGGACCCUGAACCUGAGUUCCAACUGGUUCCAGGGGGAGGUCCCAGCAAGCAUCGGCCGCCUAGCGCGUCUGCAGACGCUUGAUCUGAGCUACAAUGCGUUCUCUGGUACGCUUCCUUCCAACCUCAGUUCCUGUGUCAGCUUACUGCUGUUAGAUCUCAGCAGUAACCGGUUCCAUGGGCGUAUCCCUGUUGAGCUUGGAGACAAGCUAACAAGUCUUCAGAAGUUCUCACUGGGCAACAACAGCUUGACGGGUGCCAUGCCAGGAUUACUAGGUAACCUGUCAUCCCUGAACUACCUUGAUCUGAGAAAAAACCACCUCGAGGGUCCGAUCCCACAUGAACUCGGCAGCAUGGGCGGCCUGCAGGUCCUUUUACUCCAUGACAACAGACUCUCCGGUGUGCUUCCACACUCCCUGUACAAUCUGUCCUCACUGAAAAAGUUGGGGGUAGGAGACAACAUGCUGUCUGGAACCAUCCCUGCUGAUAUCGGCGAUAGGUUCCCCGGUAUGGAAGCUCUUGACUUUUCUAGCAACCGAUUCAGUGGAGCUAUCCCACCUUCGCUCGGCAACCUCUCUGCUCUCACAAAACUAGUCCUUCAAGAAAAUGGUUUUAUUGGAUAUGUGCCUUCUGCUUUGGGAAAGUUGCAAAGUCUUACUGCCCUUUUCUUGGGUGUUAACAGGCUAGGAGCAAACGACAGUCAAGGGUGGGAAUUCAUCACUUCACUGGCAAACAGCUCCCAGCUUCAGGUUCUUGUUCUCGGCAACAACUCUUUCAGCGGGCAACUGCCUAAUUCAGUCACAAACCUGUCAUCAACUCUGCAAGGUCUUUAUUUGGGAGACAAUAUGAUUUCUGGGAAUAUUCCAAUAAACAUCGGAAAUUUGGUUGGUCUUACAGUAUUUGUGAUGGGAAAUACUUCUGUAUCUGGACAGAUUCCAGAGAGCAUUGGUCAGCUAAGAAACUUGGGUGUGUUAGGCCUUUACAACACUAGCUUGUCAGGCCUCAUACCUUCGUCACUAGGAAAUCUUACACAGUUGAAUAGGCUUUAUGCAUACUAUGGAAACUUAGAGGGGCCAAUUCCAUCAAACUUGGGGAACUUAAAGAAUGUGUUUGUCUUUGAUCUCUCAACAAAUCGACUCAAUGGUUCAAUUCCUAUAGAGGUUUUAAAACUUCCUCAACUUUCCUGGUACUUAGACUUAUCAUAUAAUUCAUUAUCCGGGCCACUUCCAAUUGAGGUUGGUACCAUGGUGAAUCUUAACGAACUGAUUCUGUCUGGAAACAAGUUGUCAGGCACCAUACCAGCUAGUGUUGGGAACUGUAUAUCGUUGGUACGGCUGCUGCUCGAUAACAACUUAUUAGAAGGAAGCAUACCUCAAUCUCUGAAGAAUAUAAAAGGUCUUGCAUUACUGAACCUAACAAUGAAUAAGCUAUCUGGUAGUAUUCCUGAUGCCCUUGCUAGCAUUGGCCACCUGCAACAACUGUAUCUUGCACACAACAACUUGUCAGGUUCCAUCCCCAAAGUUCUACAGAAUUUGACAUUGUUGGCAAAACUGGAUUUGUCCUUCAAUGAUCUGCAAGGCGAAGUGCCAAAAGGGGGUCCUUUUGCAAAUGCAACUCACUUGUCAAUUGAUGGAAAUGAUGAGCUUUGUGGCGGAAACC
rnacentral:lncRNA from 1 species